rnacentral:lncRNA from 1 species
GCUUUCUUAGCUGCCGGCUCCUCAUGACUCGCCGCCGCCGGAUCAUCAUGACUCGCCGCCGCCGGAGGAGGAGCACCGGCGCCGGAAGUAGAGUGUGUAGAUUCGUACUCGUUGAGAUACUUCUCGGCCUUCUCGAGGUACUGACCAGCACCGCUUUUUUCAUCGAGCUUACCGUACUUCUCGGCGGCGUCUAAGAUAUCAGCGCUGGCUCCGGCGACUUUACCCUUGUCGAGUUUGUCGGAUUCGUUACGAGCUGCGGCUUGAGCAGCUUCGGCUACAAUCUUGGCACUAGCCAUGACCUCGGCGGAGGAAGCUGGUCUAUUGGUUGUUUCGGUUCCUUCGACGGGCUUGUUGUGCUCCGGCUCCGCCGUUUUCGUGUCGGAGAGUUUCUUUACCUGAUCAGAGAUGAAGUUCAUCUUUUGGUUUUUUUUUUUCUCGCUGAAUAUAGUUUUUUUUUUGUUGGAUGUAAGAGUUAAGAGAAUGGGAUAUGUGUAUAUAUAGACAGAAAAUGGAUAUUUAUCCACUAUAGGGAUAUUAUUUUUUGUAGUUAAUAACAAUACAAUAUUGUGUACGUAACUCAUUUCUAUAUUAUUAUUUAAGUAGACAUUUUUAAAUAUAAAUUUUAUUUUGUAAAAUAUUACAUGAUAUAUCAUUACAAAUAUCAAAGAAUAAUUAAAUUAAAAAAGGAUAUAGUUAUCUUUCAAAUUUAUUGACAAAAAUAUGGAAAGUCUUUGUUUCUGAAUUUUAAAAUAUGAUAGUUUUUAUAUUUUUGUUUUAAAUAAUAUCAUAAAGUAUAUUUAAUUAAAAAACAUGAAAAUAUUUUGUUUUCACAAUUAAAUAAUAUAAAAGUCAAAACUAAAAUUUAUAAUAUUUAAAAAUGGUGAAAUAUUUUUUACUUUAAUUUGCUAUAUUUAUUUCAUUAUAUAUGAAAUUUAUUUUAAAUUAUUUUUUACCAAAAAAUGACAUGAAAAAAUAAUUUUUAGAAUAAAAAAUUAAUAUUGAAGUGAGAUUUAUUGAUGCCUAUUAUAAUUAGUUUUAUAUUUUAAUCCAGUACAAACAAGUAAACGGAUUAAUUCGGUAUGAAUGAAUUAUAAUUCUAAUUUUUUAAUAUUCACCAAAACAAAUUUUGCAUUUCAAAAUAUUAGUUUUAAAAUAGGUGGUAUAUUAAAUCCACUAAAUAUUAUAAUUUGUCUUUAAGAUUAAAUAAAUUUUGUUGCAUUUUUAUUUAUUAUAUAUCAAAUCUAAGUUUAAAGAAUAUUAUACUAUUUUCAUAUAUUGUUAGAAGAUAAAAAUAUUUUUUUAUAGUUUGUGGACAGAUUAUAAAAUUCAGUUACUAAGCGAUGUAGUUGAUUUUAAUGAUAUUAUAAUAUUUUGUGUAUUAGUUUGAAUAAUAUUUCAGUUUAAUGUUAACGGGUUAAAUGAACAGUUUAUUUUGCUUUAUCUUUUUAUAACAUAUACGGAUUAACUUAAUUUUUAUAAUUCAAACUAAAAAAAAAUUAUAUACGAAUCAACUCAUUUUUAAAAAUUCACAAAAUAUGCACUACAUUAUCAUAAACUUUAUAGAAAUAACUGUUUUUAUAAAAUAACUAUUUUUGUAAAAUGAUUUAACUUAAUUGAAGAUAAAAAAAUGUUUCCAAAAAGAUCUAGUCACUUUAGUUUGUCGUGUUUAAUACUCCUACUAUUUCUUCUUAAUAAUUGUUGUGUAUGUUACAACUUACACAAAUGUGUAUAUCUUUGUAAUUUGUACGUUGAUGAGGUUACCUAAUAGGCUAAUACACUAACAAUUGUUAAUGUCGUUGUUUGUCGUGGCCGAAAAUACAUUUAGGGAUCAGUUAUUACAAAAUAUUUGUGACGAAUGUGCUGUUCUCUUGUCGAUCACACAUAUUAGAUAUUUCUUUUGUGGUGUUCAAUGCAUUGUCCUAUCACAUAAACAUCUAUGAAAUUAUUGUUUUCCAUUGAAGGUUGUCGUGUUGGUGGAAGCUUUGAUGGGUGAUAAAGGCAAUCACUUUAUUUUGUCGGCAGAGUAAUACAAGCUUUUUUUUUUUUUUUUUCUUUUCUAUUAAUCUCCCAGCUUGAUUCGGGUGCCCUAAGCAAAUUAGUUGAGCCCACAAUAAGUGACAUUAGUGACCCAAUAUUUACAUUGUGUUCUUAAAAGUUUUUAAACCCGAUUAGCGUUAGUGACAGAUACAUUUUAGAAAGGGCUCCAUCCGGGUUUUGUUGGCUUCGGUUUGAUAGAAUAGUAAUUAACGCAAAAUGGAAUCUUAUAUGAACCGGUUUGGCAUGAUGUUUAUAUUGGUUUGAGUUUGACUUUAAAUCAAAUAUAUGAAAUUCCAAAAAUUAAGUUCGAUUUAUUUUCUCAAUUUGGAUUUUUUUCUUUUCCUUUUCUAAUUUAAGAGAGAGUAUUAUAUUAUCAUGUGGUGGUUUUAAAUGGGUUCAAUAGGGUACAUGAUAAGCUCUUGAAAACAAAAGAUUUCCUGCAUUUGUAUUUAUGCGGUGGUGUCUGUUGGUUUUCUUAUGCUUCCAGGACCGUAUAAAGUCACUAUAAACAAGACAUCUGAAGCAAUGAUAUUUUUGGUUUUUCAGCUACCCAUGAAAACCAAGCUGAAGACGAUGAUGCUGCUCACGUUGAGGCGUUGGCCUCCCCUCCGGUCCUGAUAUCACUACCCGAGGUACCGCAGACCCCGAUAUGCCGGAUUGAUGCUUUUUGGAUCAAUCACGGACAGGUUAGCGGCCUUGGUUGGAGUUUUAAGGAUGACAGAGGAACAGAGAUUUUUGGUCUACAGAGAUGUCGUAGAAGUCUCUCGGCUCUUCACGCCGAGAUGGAUUGCCUCUUAUGGGCUAUGUCAUGCCUGAGAGAAAUACAGAUGACGUCGGUGCAUUUUUAGACCGACUGCUCGGAUCUUGUGAGCAUGUGUGAAUCACCAGCAGACUGGCCAUCUUUUAAGACAGAAUUGGAAUCCUUUUGUAUACUUCGCGAGAGCUUCUCAGAGUUUACCUUAUCCUAUAUUCCGAGAAUUCAAAAUGUCCGGACGGAUAGUCUUGCAAAAUGAGCUCGAGCGAGAGGAGUUAUUUUUUCCCAAAUCGAUCAUAACGAGCCGGUCGAAGAUGGUUUUCAAACCACUUCUAAGAUAGGCCAAAUGUGAUUGUAAUAGUUGGAUAGCGGAAAAAAAAAAGCUACUAAUGAAUUUUUUUGAUAAAACUGUUGAACGACGUAAGAUAUGAUGGAUCGAUUCAAGAUAUUCUACGGUCUUUCUUUCUGUUAGAAUUUAUUUUAAUUAAUUUUUGGUUGAAAUAAGUUAAAAAAGCUAUUUAUAUUUUGAAAGCUCACAUUCAAAUUAAUUGAUUUAGUUCCAUUUUUGGUCAUAGUUUUAAAACCACCUGUUAUUUAUAAAAAAAUUUCAAUGGCAUACAAAUAUUUUGGUAUUUCAGCACUACUUGAAAUAAAAAUACCAAGAUAAUUACGAAAAUUGGUUCGAAAAAAUCAUAUGUAAAACUCGUUGAUCCAAAUCUGCUGCACUCUGUUUUCGCUGUCCCAUAUGCACAAAAACCACACAAGAUAAUCUUAAGGUAAUUUCAAGAAACUUCUUGUUGUUUCUAAAAUUAAAUGCAGAUCUGUUUUUUUUUUUUGUUUUGUUGUUGCUCUUUGCCUUAUUGAUGUUUCUUUCUUUCUCUUUGUAUGCAGCAUUGUCUAUGGCUUUUUGUGUCUAACAUCAGUGGAUCAAGCUGAUCAACUGGCAGAAAAAACUCAAAUCUUUCAAAGAUGGAAACUUUUUUUUUGUUUUUCCUGUAAAUUAUCCAAACUUUUAAUAAAUGUUACUUUUGUGAUUUUUCUAUGCAACAAGAUUUGAAAGAACAAUGUUUCUUCGUUGUGUAGCUAUCAAAAGGUGUCUUUGGCGUAAGAAUCAGAGGAGAACAUUUUCCACUAAUCUCCAAAUAUCUCAAGUGCACUCCAACAUAAUUGGAGAAGCAAUAGGUUUGAACUCCGGGGAUCGAGUGAGACUCUAGGGAUUGAUUAGAAUAAGCAACAUUUCCUUAUCUCCUUAGACUUCAAAUUUUUUUUUUCUUGACAAAAGCUUCAAAAACAUUUAUAACAUUUUUUCAGAUAAAAGUGACUUUACUAUUUAUGUUGAAUGAAUUAAAUUUGUUGAUGAUACAUGUGAAGAAAUUUAAAUAUACACUUUGUAAUUAUAAGGAAUGAAUUCAAUUAUGUGCAAACGUAGGACAGUGGAUAUAAGCACUAUGAAGUUUAACUAUCUGUAAAUGUUCUAAUUUCAAAGAAUGAAAAAACUACUUUCCUAAAUUAACAUGUGACGAGUCAUAAUCAUAGUGUUGAAUUACACUUUUAUUUGUCUUAGGUAAACGUUUUCUCUCUGGAGACUGUUAAGAUCCAAUGGAUGACUUUGAAACUUAUUGGAGGAUAGAUCAUCAUCAAGUGCAUUCAAACAAAAUUGGCCAAGCAAUAGGAUUAAUCUUUGGGGAUCGAGUACCUUUGGGUAGACCUCAUUGUUGCAAAGCCUCCUUCUAAUAGUAACAGUGGUUAGAUACCAGAAUCUAUUCCCAAAAAGAUUGUGAAACCUGCAAGAUUUGAGAGUUUCUAUGGACAGUUGCCGGAUGAAAUCUUUAUACACAAUAUUCAAAGAUAUGGUGUAUAUGAUAAGUAAACAAUAAUUUUUUGAUGAGUUAUAAGUAUCCUACCAUAUAAAUGAGAAUUUUAAAAUCUCUGUACACAAUUCAAAGCUUGCAGAAUUUUUUAUUUUAUUUUGGUAAAAAAAGCUUGUAGAAUUUAAUUUCAAUAAAGAUAAUUCGAAAACAAAUAUUUGAGGAUUUUUUCUCCCUUUCAUAUGGUAAAUUUCGGUUUAGUCUGGCUAUAGCCGGCCAAUAUAGUUGGUAUUAACUUAUUUUGUUUGGUUGGUUAAUGAUUUUUAUUUGAUUUUGGGUAAAAAUCAUAUGUGGUCUUAAACUAUUAAUGUUUCUCGAAGCGUUUGUUUUAUGAAAUCAAUGGGCAAAUUUUAGGUUAAAGACAAAUAGUUGGCGUUCAUUAAUUGAAUGGUGGAGUGGUUUCUGUAAUAUCAUUUCUCACACACACACACACGCACAUACACACACUAUAUAGCUACAAAUAUCUGAGAUCCUCUGUUUUAGUGUCAGAAACAGAGACAUGCUUUUCCAGGGAUUUUACCGGUAGUACGGACAAUUCCGGCUUUCUCCUUAACCUUGAGCUCUUCAUUCUGCCUUUGUUUCUCCGCCUGAGCUCUGGCUCCGGCAGCAAUCUGUUCAAUGUAUUCUGUGUCUUCUCUAAAUCUCUGCAAACCUCUCUUCCUCCUCUGUUCUAGUUCGCUCUGCUGUUCAUGUACCAACCGGUUAGAGACAAAAAUCUCAAAUCAUCAUUCAGUUAAAUGAUCAUGAGAUUAGAUUGAAAAAAAAAAAAAUUCAAACUAUAUUAUCAACCUCGGAUUUGUCCAGCUUCCUUCGAGCUUUGUCUCUCUUCUUCGUUUCCCACAGAUCGAUCUUUCUGGUUAACUUGUCGUACCUGCUUGUGUGAUACAUAUGUUAGUGUAUGAACAACAAACAUAUAUUAAGUAUUUUUUGUGAGUAUUGAGUGUAAUUACCUUGCUUCGAUCUUAAGUAGUUCAGCUUUUUCCCAAGCAUCAGCUGUAGAUUCAUCUUUUCGACUAGUAUAUCCAGAACUCUGUCUUUUGAUAUCCCUCGGUGGAAGCCGCAGAGGUGAAGGUGAUGGAGGAGGUGGUGGGGGUCGAGGCGGUGGUGGAGCACGGCGUUCUGAACGUGUCCUUUGCGGUGGUUGUACCCGCAUUGGAGCUUGCGGUUCAGAAACUGGUUUUCUUUGUCGUCUUUCCUGUUUCUCCCCUGAGUCUUCACUCUGUUUGGUGUGAUCACCUCUCAGGUCCAUGGAGAAAGUCGGAGUCUUUUUGGCCGGCGUUGACUUUCUCACUGGAGACUUUAGCGUGGGAAUUUUGUGUUCUUUAAGCUCUGGUUCUUUAAAUGAAAGUUGUCCUGUAUGAUCAACACAAUUGUUUUUUUUUUCUCUAACAUCAAGAUACAUUUUCAGUUAAACAAAAAAAAAAUCCAAUCUUUGAGUUAUUCUGUAACGUCACCUGAGAAUCUUCUUGAUAAGCUUCUCGGUUCCUCGAAAUGCGACAGAUCUUCUCUUCUACUUUUGCUCGUUGACAAAGAAGCUCCACGUUCAAGGCCACUCUGUUUUGUUUAAAAAUUUUCAGUUAAAAAUGCUUACUUUAAUUAGCCUUAACAUAAAUUCAUUUGUAGAGCACUUACAUGAUAACUCUCAAGCCAAGUUUCUUCAAAAGUGGUUAUGGCAUAAGCAGUGGCUGCAACUGCAGCUGCGUGGUCCAUGUCGCUGAUCGGUUCAUAACUUUGGUCGUUCAUUUGCCUCGAGAACUGCUUCUGUAACCAGUUUGAGGGCUUUUUCUUAUCUACCAACAAUGAACACACAAACAUGAUAAGUCCUAAGGUGAAAUUAAUCAAGCAUCAAGAAAAACAGAGCAGAAUUUUGUGGCACCUUCUUUGAAUGAAACAGAUUUCCUUGCUGGCACUUUCUUCUCUCUAGUGGAGCUACUAACCUCUCCAGUUUUUACCUGGGCAGCUGGGUGCCUCCUUCUGAGACCAAGAUAUCAAGUUUUUACAUCAAUAUGUAUGUAUAUGUACGUGUGGUUGAAUACAAAAGAUGUAUUUGGAGAUUUAGUAUUUUACCUUGUUUGCUUGAUCAAGCUAUCCAUUUCAAUCUAAAAUAUGGUGGGAGGACUUGAGAAGGUUUGUUUAGCUGAGUUUGAUGGUUUUGGGUUUUGAAGGGUUUUUGAGAUUAUUGCUUUGCAUGCAAGUUUCAGAUUUGGAUCAUAAAGGUGUAUACGUUAAGUAAAGAACACAUUUCUUUCUUUUCCCUCUUUGCCUUUUUGGUUCUUUGCUUUCUCAAAAGGACAGUGAAAAGAACAAACCAGAUACCUUCGAUUCAAUUUUCAUAUAUGGAUAAGGAAUCUUUUACAUGCAGAAAACACAUCAAGUACAAUCUUGCUUUAACAAAGAAAAUGAAUCUUACAAAACCAGAAAUCACGGUGAAAAUUCCUGUGUGUAAUAAAGUUUUUUUAAUAUGCAUAACUAUUUACUAAACAAGGAGGUCUAUCUCAGAAAGUUCGAGGACCUUAUGUGCGCCAAUCGCCUUCACGUCUGUUUUGAAGGCGUUUCCUUCUAUGUACCUGCAACAUACAUCCACCAAGAAUUAAGUUAUAAAACAUGGGUGAUAUAUAUAUAUAUAUAUAUAUAUCUUUACAAAGAGACCUUAGAGAGGUUGUGAACCUACAUAUUCUUUAGGUUUGGGUGAUUGUAGAAAGCAUCAGGGAUUCUUCCACUGAACUGAUUGUGGUCCAAGUGCCUGAGGUUAACACAGAACAUGCUAUAAGGAUGCAGGAGAGUACAUAGGUCUUUCAGAUCAAUUGUAAAGUUACGAAUAUAGAAUAAGACUUACAAGUAGGUUAGUCUUGGUAAUUUGGCAAGUGCAGAGGGUAUUGUUCCAGUCAUUUUGUUGUAAGAUAAGUACCUAGACUUGAAAGGAUAAGAUAAGGAGAGAUAUAAUUUGCAAGUGGCGUUCAUAAUUAAAAAAAAAAGUGAUCAAGUACUCACAAGAUCUCCAGGUUUGUUAGAUUUGAAAGCUUGUUUGGGAGUCCACCAGUGAAGUAAUUAUUAUUUAGAAACCUGCAGCCAGAAUGUAACUUGGGACAAAGUCACUUGUGAUGGCUAACUCUCAAACUCACUUACAGGUUUCUAAGAGCUGGAAAGCAUCCUUCUAUGCGUAAAAGAUCUCUUAUACUCCCGACUAAGUGAUUGCUGCCAGCAUCCCUAUAGACAUGCAGACCAUGACAAAAAGAUACUAAGUAUAUCUGUAAUCUGUUGGUUGAUCUACAUAAGAGAGCAUUGAAUGUAAGAGAUUACAGGUGGCGAAGCUUUUGUAAUUUUCCCAGCUCUGCUGGAAUACGCCCAGUAAAAUGAUUAUCCUGAAAAUGUAGGUAUUGGAGCUCCUUGAGAUUUGAUAGUUCUUUGGGGAUUUCUCCUUUGAAAUUGUUAAAGCUCAGGUACCUGCAUUAGUGAGAUCAUGUUACAUAGCUCAAGGAAACCCCUUCAAUGAUAUUCUUCCCUGACAAGAGUUAGAAUUACUUACAGAAAAGUUAGAAUUUUCAGCUGACCAAUUUCAGGAGGCAGGACAUGUUGAAGUUUGUUCCACCUCAAAUUCCUGUUUGCAAUACAAAUCAGAAUGCAAAACAAGAUCAAGAGAAAGCAAGCAGCCACGCUGUAUUCUUCAAACAACUAAUAUACAUUGAGAUCAUUGUGGAACUAAUAAAGUGUGUGAAGAACAUUACAGUGACUUAAGGCGCUUUAGCCGCCCAAUUUGCGGAGGAAUCGGGCCUGUCAAUUUGUUGUUGUGCAGAUCCCUGCAAAAUUCAUAAAGCAAUUCCUUCAAACAUUCAUACCCUGAGCUAUGGAUUUGUUUCCACCUUAGAGAAAAUGGGUAGCACUAGAACUAACAAGAACCCAAAAGUUUUCAUAUCCUCAACAAGAAACAGAUUGCAAAGUCCAUGAAGCUUACAGAACAGUGAGAUCUAGGAGAUUCGUUACAGCCGUUGGGAAAGUCCCGCCUAUCGACAUUGCAAACACUUCUCUGCAAAGAUCACAAAUACACUUAAGUGAAAAAAAUCAAAACUUUAAAAAAUUCAGAGUUUUUGAGUCAAAGGUUACAGCUUUGUGACGACACGGUAAUUUCCGACGGUGGAGCAAGUGACACCUGUCCACGGAGGCAAAACUCCAUUGCCGCAAGGAUCAUCUCCAACCCAAGUGUACACCACUCUCCAUCCGACCAAACCCUUUAUCUCAUUCAACGCUUUCACUGCCACACAACGAAAUAAAAAAAAACCCAAAUCUCUCGCUGAAUCAGAAAACCCCAUCAGGCGAAAAAAUCACAAUUUGGAAACAAUUAAAUGAGAGAGAGAUCGGGAAAACUUACAGUCUCGUUGGAGCGUUUUAGCGAGGGAGACAUUGAUCAGCAACAAAAGAGCGUAAACCCGGAAAAUCAGCGACAAGCUCAAACUCAAAUGCGCCAUCGAUAAUUCGAUUAUGCUGCGAAUGAUCUGUAGAGCCUACGAAUCAUAAAACUUUCGUGGAAUAAGAAGAAGAGUAAAAUCGAUUUUAUAAACUCGGCCAGUGAAAUGGUGUGGGAGAAGGAAGAAAUAUUUUACAUCGCCAUGGAAAGCAAGCUCAGUGGAAACAAAGCGAACCCGGCAUGCACAAAACGGUUGAAAUUCCUCAAACUAAAUUUAUUUUCAUAUUAAAAUUAAUUUAUUUACUUAAUUUCCUUAAACAGGCCGAUAUGGCCCAUAUUCAUGGGUUUAGAUAUGCUCAAGAGGCCCAUCUUCGGGGAAGGUGAUAUGUCAUAAAUCAGUAUUGGUUUUAAAAUUAGCUUUACAUCAAUAAAUCAAAUCCAUCCAAUCAGAGCGAACGAGAAAACGUCGUCGUGUUAAAUCACUGUUUAUAUCUUCCUUCUCCGGCGCUCCGGCAACAAUAAUUCUUCCUUUCCUCCGUCGCAAUGAUCGGCAAUUUCUCUUUCUUCCUCGUCCUCUUCGUAUCUGUCCUCGUUUCCUCUGCUAAUGCCAAGGAGACACUUUCCAUUUCCCCCAAAACUCUGAAUCGAUCUGGCGAUUCCGUCGUCAUUCAAUGGUCCGGCGUCGAGUCUCCGUCCGAUCUCGACUGGCUAGGCAUAUACUCGCCGCCGGAGUCUCCUCAUGAUCAUUUUAUUGGUUAUAAAUUUCUUAAUGUUUCCUCCACGUGGAAAUCUGGUUUCGGCUCCAUUUCCCUUCCUCUGACCAAUCUCCGAUCAAAUUAUUCUUUCCGGAUCUUCCGAUGGACCCAAUCCGAGGUCGAUCUAAAACACAAGGAUCAUGAUCAGAAUCCUUUACCAGGAACGAAACAUCUUCUAGCUGAAUCGGAGCAGUUGACUUUCGGAUCCGCCGUCGGGAUGCCGGAGCAGAUCCAUUUGGCGUUAGGCAGUAAGGUUAACAGGAUGCGGGUUAUGUUUGUAGCUGGGGAUGGAGAAGAACGUUUCGUGAGAUACGGAGAGGCGAAGGAGACGUUAGGCAACUCCGCGGCGGCGCGUGGGAUUAGGUACGAGAGAGAGCACAUGUGCGAUUCUCCGGCUAAUUCCACCAUCGGAUGGAGGGAUCCUGGUUGGGUUUUCAAUACCGAAAUGAAGAAUUUGAAUGGAGGCGUUAGGUACUACUAUCAGGUAAACAAAUCCGAACCUUUAAAUAUCAAUUUCUUUUGUCUAGAUUUUGAGGCUUAUUCAUGAAGAGAAUCAUUUGGGUAGUGUAGUGUAUCGUUGUUGGAUUAUAAGAAUAUAUCAAAGGUCAUGUCUUUGUGACAGGUUUUGCAAGGAAUAUGGUUUGUGAUUACAGGAGUGAUAGAUCAUCUGUUUUGAUUGAUCAUGUGAAUCAGGUUGGGAGUGAUUCAAAGGGAUGGAGUGAGAUCCAUAGCUUUAUUGCUCGAGAUGGCUACGCUGAAGAAACCAUAGCUUUCAUGUUUGGAGAUAUGGGUUGCGCUACACCUUAUACGACGUUUAUCAGGACACAAGAUGAGAGUAUAUCAACCGUGAAGUGGAUCCUCCGUGACAUUGAAGCUCUUGGUGACAAGCCAGCUCUUGUUUCACACAUUGGAGAUAUAAGUUAUGCUCGUGGUUACUCGUGGGUGUGGGAUGAGUUCUUUGCUCAGAUCGAGCCUAUUGCCUCGAAAGUUCCUUACCAUGUCUGCAUUGGUAACCAUGAGUAUGAUUUUCCUGAUCAGCCGUGGAAACCAGAUUGGGCAGCUUUCACUUAUGGAACCGAUGGUGGCGGCGAAUGUGGUGUUCCGUAUAGUAUUAAGUUCGACAUGCCUGGAAAUUCAUCAGAACCAACGGGAACGAAAGCUCCUCCGACUAAGAAUCUAUAUUAUUCUUUUGAUAUGGGAUCGGUCCAUUUCGUUUAUAUCUCCACUGAGACGAAUUUCGUUAAAGGAGGCAGUCAAUACGAAUUCAUAAAGCGGGAUCUAGAGUCUGUAAACAGGAAGAAAACGCCGUUUGUUGUUGUGCAAGGACAUAGACCGAUGUACACUACGAGCAACGAGGUUAGAGACACUAUGAUUAGACAAAAGAUGGUUGAGCAUUUGGAACCGCUGUUUGUGAAGAACAACGUGACACUUGCUCUAUGGGGUCAUGUUCAUAGAUACGAAAGGUUUUGUCCGAUAAGCAACAACACUUGUGGCAAACAGUGGCAAGGAAACCCGGUUCAUCUUGUGAUUGGUAUGGCUGGUCAAGAUUGGCAACCGAUUUGGCAGCCGAGACCAAACCAUCCAGAUGUUCCCAUAUUCCCUCAGCCUGAACAAUCAAUGUACCGUACUGGUGAGUUUGGAUACACUCGUCUAGUUGCAAACAAAGAAAAGCUCACUGUUUCAUUUGUGGGUAACCACGACGGAGAAGUUCAUGAUACCGUUGAGAUGUUAGCAUCUGGGGAAGUAAUCAGUGGGAGCAAAGAGGGCACUACUAAAAGCCCAAAUCUUAAAACCAUUCCUGCUUCAGCUACGGUUUUGGGAAAAUCGGAAUCUAAUGUCUCGUGGUAUGUCAAAGGAGCAAGCUUGAUGGUUAUGGGCGCGCUUUUAGGGUUCAUUAGCGGAUAUUUCACCGGAGGAAAGAAAGGAUCUGCAUCUGCUAACCGUUGGAUCCCAGUCAAGAACGAGGAGACAUAAUAUUAUUAGCUGAAUCUAUUUAGGGGCACGAUUUGUAUAGUAUCUUUUUUUCCCACGUUAAGAACCAGGCUUCUAAAGUUGGGAAGAAAUUAUGAGUUUUUGUACACUAAUAAUACUGAUUUGUAUUUCUUCUUACACCACUCUACGAUGUCACAGUUUAAAGGGCUUUUGGUGUACAUACAUAUGUUCUGUAUGAGUAUAAAAAAUUUAUUGAAGCUUCUAUAUCUGAAUUGCACAGUAUGUCCGAUCCAGGUUUAUGUUCGGUUUUUCUUAAAGUUUUAUCUUUUUAAGGAAGGUUGUAAUCAAAAUGAAACCGAAUUUAGUAUGGAUUCAGAAUUACAAAUCAUUUUAUUUUGACGACUUCGAUUUUUCGGAUGAAAAGGUAACCUUAUGUUUGACCCAAUAAAGAAAGGUAAUCCGUAACUGCGCAACAUCAUUUUAGCCAGAAUGAGAUUUGGUUUGGCAAUUCAUAGAUGAUUUGAUUUGGCCUGGUUUGUUAGACUAUGUCGGUUAAAAUUUUUGUUUUCCCGCGAGAUCAAUAAGGUGGAUGCUUUUACAUUCUUUUCAAUUCUAAACAUGAAAAUGAAAACAAAACAAAUUCUAUCAAAGCCUUUAAAACACGUGAGAUUCUCCUACUAUGUCUUAAAUUGAAUUCUCUUAGAUUCAAUUAAAUUCCAAGAUCCAAUAACCCCCCCUAAGUCUAAAUACUCUUGUAACUUGUUAAACUGUUUGAAAAUUCAAAAAAGAUUGCUUUAGCUAGGAAAUUGAAUGAAAUGAGUUAAUAUUGACAAUUUUUACAGCAAAGAAUGAACAACGAAGAAAAUUUGAACUGUACGAACGUAAAGAGAAAAAAAUACGAAUAGGAUUUUAGUAAUUUGUUUUUGAAAGGUGUUUAUUUGGAAAGCAAGUGACGUGCGCGUUGAUUAGCUCCUUUAACACGAGAGUUGAGCUCAUCAACAUCGUCGCCGAGAUGAUCAAGAGCCUUGUUUUGCCUGCAAAUUUCCCGCAAAUAAUAAUAAUAAUAUAAGUAUUUCAUAAACAUACCGUAUAAAAAUGUAUGAAAAUACGUGUGCAUUUGUGUGUAUCUGACUUCUCGAGCUCAGAUCCCAUAUCAACGGCCAUGCUCUUAAGAUCACCCAAAAUGUCACUUAAAUCUGAAAGUCCAUCGUCUUGCUUUGCCUUCUCUUGCUGCAAAUAAACCAUCGUAAAUACUUUUCAUAAAUUAAGCAAUUAAGAUUCACAAAUUUCUGCAAAAUUAGACACAAACCUCAACUUUCUGCAACGCAUUUGUUGGUUGGUUCAACGGUGGCGGUUGGCUGCUCGAUCUUCCUUUCCCUCCCAAACCGAGUUUCUCUCGCUCUUCCUUGUGAUUUCCGCUCUUCUUCGAUGCUUUAUCUAAAACAUUCCACAAAAAACAUGAUCACCAUAAAACAUGAUUCUUUUAAUUCAAUCAAGAAUGAGAUUCGGUAGCGUUUAAACAACAAAGAUAGAAAUGACAUGAGUUAGUUAACGAGGUCUCUAAUCUUACAAACUGAAAACAACAUACACAAUUUUAGAAUCUAGUCUCUUAAAGGUUUCAAGCAAAAGGGUCAAAACCUGGUGUGAUCAUUGGUCCUGCGAUCUCUUUACUCUUCUUCGGUUUCCAUGGCUUAGAGAACAUUCCUCCUAAGUUGUUCAAAAGCUUCUCUCCCUGAUCUCAAUAAAAACACUUUAACCAUAAAUAAAGAACAGAUCAUUCCUUUCUAGAUUGAAAAGAGAAAGAAAAGUUUACCCGACUGAGAUCUUUGUCCAUUUCAACAGCCAUAACAUGAGUCCUGUUGAUCUGUUCACCUUGCGUGUGCAACAUUUCGAGCGUUCUUGUAGCAUCCGAUUUGAUAUCUUCAGCGAUCUUAAGACAAUUGUUCACACCUUUGGUUGUUUCUUCGGCUUUAUAAACCGCAUAGUUCUCUAACUCUUCUGUCGUUUGGCUCUGCAGACCACCGGAAUCGCGGAAACCGUUUUUAUAUUUGUCUUCAUCGUCGAAAUCAGGUGUUAUCAGGAUUGGUUCUGAAGAAGUUCUUCUUCCUGCAUUGAUUGUUCCUCCUUUGUUGUUUGAUGAUUCGUUGGGAAGCUUGUUGUUCCCCGGAGAUUUGAAAAAUCCAAACAUCUAUUGACAAUGUGAGAAGACUACUGAUCAAUGUUUUCAAGAAAAUGGCAUUGGUGAUUUGCAGAAAAUGAUAAAAUAUUUUGAUAAAGUUUUGAUUAGGACGCGGUUUAAGCCAACGGUUUACCUGUGAGAAAUCUCUGGAGAAGACGAGAGAGAGAGAAAAGAUUCGGAUUAAGAAAAAAAAUCCAGAGAAAGAAAAAGGAAAAUGGUUAUCCAAAAAUAGAAACCUGUGACAAAAGAUGUGAGUUUCAAGAAUGGAUCAAAAGAAUGUUUAGUUAGAUUCUCUCUCUGUUUGUUUACCGUUGAAAGGAUCUAGGGAUGAAGGGAGACGCGUCGGAGAAGGAGAAGUAAUCAGCCACCACGUCACGUUCUCUGUUUCUUUCUACACAGUUAAGAGUCUCUGUUCUGUAACUACCAGACACUCUGUUUUCAAGAUCUUUAAGGAUAGUUUAAGGUACAAGAAACUAAAGAAAUUGAUUACAGAUGAAAAAAGUUAGUUUAUUAAACAGUUUUGAAGAUUUUUUUCUUCUUCUUACAAGAAAAUCUAAUUUACAAAGGUAAUAAAUAAACUACAAUAUAAAAGAAAAACAACAAUCUAAUUUAUUUUCAAAUUUGUUUUCUAACUUUUUACAUUCGAAAUUUAUUGACGUAUGGGUCUUGGCCAAAGAUCUCGUCGAUGAUGUUUGAAGUUGGAAGCAGAUCAAUGUUCUUAUUCCAAAAAUGAUCUGGCAGAAUCGAAUCACAAGGAUCAAACGAAUACGAAUGAUCCACAAGAUCAUUGCAGUGGCGCCAGUAAUUCCCAAUGUUGGAUUCUUCUCUGCUUUUAACUGGACAUCGAGAGUAGCUUACAUUGGACUGAAACUCAAAUGACAUGUACGAAUCUUCUUCCACAUUCACCUCUUCUUCUUCUUCGUCCCUUGAUAGGCUUUUCCCAGUUUUCUCAUCUGGAGUUUCCGCACCACCAAAGGUGUUGUCAUACUCCACUUGCCACUCGUCAUCAUCACUAUCAACGUCCAGGCUUUUAGAUCGAUUCUGGACAGCUCGUCUCCGCAGGAUGAAGACAUUGAAAUAAUAGCUCACAAUUUCCUUCAUGGUUCGUGAAGGAAACGCAGACUUCAGGUGUUUCCAGAAAUCCCGGUCCAGUGAAACCGGAUUGGAGUAAACAAUCUCGUGAAAUAGAUCUCCUCGUCUUCACUAGUUUACAGCAACUUCCUCCCCUUUCACCGAGACCUAUGUUCAGACAUCUUUCAUGUCCAACAGUUUCAAACAAGUCCUCUCUGUUUUCCAUGAUAUGCUGCUGCACACAUCUGAUGGACCCUUUAUCCAGGCAAAUGCAUUCCUUUCUUCCUUUACCGAUUUUGCAGACCUCUGUUUCACAGUCAGGCAUUGGAAUUAUGCACUUCCCCAUCACUUGUUCUUCAUCACUCGACUGGCCCCUGACUUCUUCCUUGACACAUUCAGGAAUAUCAGCCUGGUACUCUGACCCGAUUGGAACUGGUUUUCUAGGAGACAUCUGACACCAAUCAUCAUCAUCUGCUGGGAAAAUUGGUCUCCAGGGGAAAUCUGACUCGGGAGAUCCAUGAGAAAGGGUAGACUGAGUCGUCGCACCAGACAGAGAAUCCUCCUCAAAACCGGUUGUGGUCCAAGAGAAAGGUGCAUUGCUCUCAAACCCCUUCUCAACAUAAUACUCACAUUUGAACCCGUAGAGGUCACUUGGAUCCUCUCCUGUUAGUGAUAAGCAAGACAAACAGCAAUUAAGAAAGAUGCUCGAGUUUAUCAUGUUAACCCCUCUGCAAGAUGCAUAUUAUUAUUACCUAUGACAACACCUGAAUUCUCUAAUGAUUCACGAUACGGAACUCCUUCAUCUAGUUUGGCCAGCUUAUUGCAAAAACUAAUCUGUCUUGCAUGCUUCACGUUGUGCUCUCGCACAUCCUCAGCGUCAAAAGUGCGCUUAAAACCCAUAUUAACCUGUCAAAUGAAAACCACAAGCCAUUUAAUUACUUGGCGUGAAGGUUAUGUUAUCUAUGUCAACUGCUUUUUAAUGAACAUCCACAGAUAAACACUAACAAGUGACAAACAACUAUUAAGUCUAUAAAGGUGAGAGCUCUAAGACCCCUGUUAAUUUAAGGAAACUAAAGUAUAGAGAAAAAAUAUUAACCCCAAUUUUAUACGAGUAAAUUAAAAAAAUCCCCAAAUUUGAAGCCCUAACCCUAGAAUACAAUUCGCGGCUGAAAUCACCAAAUCACGGAUCAAAAAUCAAACAAUCGAUUACUUCUCGGGGUAAUAGACAAAAGCCCUCGAUUAAUUGACAGAUCUGACAAACCCUGAAACAUCAAAGUCAACGAGUUCCCAACUCGGAUAAAAAAUUGGGGAAAACUAGAAAUUAAGACGAAUCCGAUAAUAACAUCGAAAGAAUUCAACAUCUAAACAAGAGAUUGAUCAGAUCUGUAGUUUAAAGAUCUGGAUCUAGAAAUUCGAUGACUCAAACCCUAGAAUUGACAACAACGAAUGGAUGAUAUCAAUACGUAUAUCAAUUGAUUGAUGAAAUCAAGAGGAAAAAGAAUAUUACAAUAGAUUUGAAGAUCGAUCUGGAAGAAGGAAGGGAUCUGCAACUAAUUCGAAGAAAAUUUUGUAGGAAAAAAAUAAUUUGGGGGAAUUCGGAAAGGGGCUAGGGUUGAAAAUUCGUGCUUUUCGAUUAGGGGAAGACCCGACUUUGAAACCCGGAUUAAAUUCGGAUACCGAGACAACAUCGAAUGAGCUGUACCUUAUUAAUUUUUUGAAGCACUCGAAAUGACAAAAUUAUCCUCGCCGUUUUCCAGCACGUGCCUAGCAACUUGCUUUGGCAUAUCCUCGUAUCUAUCUUCUAAACCGAAACAUAAUAAUUUUCGUCGACAUAAACUGAUACUUAUUUAGACAAACCGAACCAAGCGAAUUGGACCGGUUUAUAAUCUAAUUAUCAUAAGCCCUAAAUUCCCAGAUUAGAUUCUCUCACGCGACCAUUUUCAAGCUCCCGAUUUUAAGCUUCCGGUAUCGCACUUUCGCCGAGUAGAUUCCUUAUUCUGCCUCUCUUUGUGUUCCGGAUUUAUAUAGCUCUUCGUAGCAUCCAGAUAUUAACCGUCGCUGAAUCUGCUCGUGAUCUGAGUAACUCCUAUUUUCUUGGGUAAAUUUUUCGCUCUGAUAAUGCUUGGGUUUGCUUGAUUUUUCGUGAUCCAUUGAUCUCUGAUUUUACUUGUGGAGUAGCUACUGAAAGGUGGAUGCUUUAAACCGAUAUGAUAUUUUUUAGCUACUAGGUGGUUACUAACUUACUAGCAUUUCUGGAAAUUUUAGUUUUUUUAUUGAAUUCGGGUCUUUGUCUGUCCUUUUGUUAUGUGUCGAUGUUUUUAUUAGAUGUGUGUUAUUAACCUAAAGCUCGAAUCUAAAGUCAUGUAUUGAUUCAAUUUUGUAGGCUCUGUGUUUAGUUCAUCAAGAAGUUCUGUGCCGCGAUAAAACAAAAAUGGCGCUAGUUGUGAUUUGUGGGCAACCUUGCAGUGGCAAAUCAAUAGCUUCUGUAACCUUAGCCGAAACAUUGAAAGAAUCUGAGACAAAACAGAGUGUCAGAAUCAUCGAUGAGGCUUCUUUCCAUCUAGACCGUAACCAAAACUAUGCCAACAUGCCUGCAGAGAAGAACCUAAGAGGAAAGCUCAGGUCAGAUGUUGAUAGAUCAGUCUCGAGAGGUGACAUUGUUAUUGUAGAUUCCUUGAACAGCAUCAAAGGUUACAGAUACGAGCUGUGGUGUAUCGCUCGUGCCGCUGGGAUUAGGUAUUGUGUAGUUUACUGUGACGUGGAUGAAACGCAUUGCAGGCAAUGGAACAAGGAGCGCAGUGAUAGAGGCGAAGCGUCGUAUGACGAUGGUAUAUUCGAAGAUCUUGUGAGAAGAUUCGAGAAACCUGAGAGAAGAAACCGAUGGGAUUCACCUCUCUUUGAGCUAUACCCUUCUCGAGAAGCAAUAGACAAAUCCUCUCCUGUGAUCUCAGAGGCAGUGACUUAUCUGACCAAGACUGUUGAUUCCAAAACCCAAGAUGUGAGGAUUCUCCAACCGAGUAUCGCGACUCAGUCCGCUAGAUUCUCAGAAGCGAACUCUCUUUACGAGUUGGACAGAGCGACGCAAGAAGUCAUCAAUGCGAUCGUGGAACAGCAAGCACUUGGUGGGGCUAUAAGCAGAGUCACUGUUGGCCAAGAGCUACCUCCAAUCGAAAUCUGCAGACCGAUUGGACUACCGGAGCUAAGGAGGCUUCGAAGAACGUUUGUUAAAUUGAUGGGUCAAUCGAGUCUGAGCGGGCCACAGUUACCAACUGACGCAGACAGCGCAAAGAGACGGUUUGUGGAUUACUUGAACAGAGAGUUUGGAGGUAAUAACGCUUGAGAUUUGUGGGUGACAUACAAAACAUCUUACAUUUUGGUUUUCAUUUUCUGAACUCGAGUCAAAUUUCAUCCUUUUUGUUCUUCACAGAAAUUUUGGAGCUAAAUUGAUGUAUCUUUUAUGCAAAGAUAUGAUUAUUAUACAUCGAGUCAAACAGUAUCGUGUUUGUAAUACUGUUAGUGAGAAAAUGAAGUUACAAAGACAUCUCUUUUCAGUUAUGUAAUCUAUUUGUCUUGUUUCUUUAACAUAAAGAAGACAACGGACAAAAAUCCGUUUGACAUUUGGAUGUUUGCUUUUCUCUUUUAAGAGAAAGAUACGACGGUACUUUUUUAAUGAUUGGAUUGUAAGAACUAGAAAAUCAGAAAAAGUGAAAAAAUAUAUGGAGAUGCAGGGGAUCGAACCCCGUGCCUCUCGCAUGCAAAGCGAGCGCUCUACCAUUUGAGCUACAUCCCCAAUUGAUUAAACUGACACAACAUUAUAUAUAGUUCUUAUUUUUAUCUAGUUCGAUUGUUUACUAAGCAUAUUGAUUACAUCAGACUAGCAAAUUAACGAUCUGUAUGUUUUUAUAGACACCAUAUGCAACCACAUUAUAUAAGAAGUAUAGUGAAUCUAUUAAUAAAAUAGGUUUGUAUAGUUUUGACAUAAAUUACCAAGUCCCAAAAUAUCUUCUUAUUAACAAACUUUUGUAAUAUUUUUUUUUUUUGGUAAUUGUUAUGCAUGCAUUGGACUGAUACCAGUUCGGUAGUUUUUUCUUUUCGUUCGUUAAAGACCAGGUAAGUAGCUGGUUGAGAAAUAGCUACGUGAUAUAUAUAUAUAUAUAUAUAUAUAUAUAUAUAUAUAAUUUUUUUUUUAAUGGCAUGCAUAGUAUUCGUUGUUAGUCUUCUUUUUUUUUGUACAAAUAUUCGUUGUUAGUCAUUCAACAAAGGUGGCUAUUUCAGCUCGCAGAUAAAUGUUCACUUUUGAGUUUUUUUUUCGUCUUAUGAUGUUCAAUUUUAAAAUUUCGUAAAAAUUAUCGUCCACAAAAAAUCUAUUAGUAAUCUUGAAUAGAACCGACAUGCCAACAUGACAGUUGGCAAUCGAUUUUUAGUGUGCGUGUUGGUUUUCUAUACCUUUAAACUAAAAGUUUCGUUCCCCACACGUAGUCAAAACGAGUGUUAAACUAAGUUCAAAAUCAAACCCAACACUCUUGUGAAUUGUGAUUAUCACUACCCGUUUUUCUUAAAACAGUAGUAUGAUAUUAUUAAGAGAUUUAGAAACGUUUCAUCAAGAUGUAACAUAUUCAAUAUAUAAAAUGUGACUCAUCAGUACGUAUAUCUAGAAAUUGUUUUGAUUUUAUUCAUGAAGAUGUUAGAAGAUGAGUCAUGUGGCUCAUGCCCAAAAAAUGAUAAUACAAAAACAGAAAUAUAUAAAUGUUAUCUCCAUACGUAAUGCUAGUUUGUCAAUUUCUUUUUCUUUUUCUAUUGUAAGUUAUACAAACAACUUACCAAACAAAACUACUUUUCUUUUUCCCUUUUAUUCCCUUAAAAUGUUUGUUCAAUCGAUUUAGUCACUACAAUAAAAAACCAAAUAUCGUACAGAUAGAACUUUUGGAACCCAAAGACUGACUUACAAAGGUUUUUAUUUAACAAAAAACAAUAUUUAAAUCGCCUUCAUUUCCUUAAAAACUCUUAAUAUCUCUUCAUCCUCUCUCUCUCUAAAGUCAUCAUCUUGGUAUUGGUGUGUGCCUGGUUUCUUUGUCCAAGGGCAAAGUCUAUUUUGUGUUUCCCCUAAAGAGCGAUCUUAAGCCUAAUCAUCAUGAGAGUGCUUCUCGCUCUCUUGCUUCUCUUGGCCUCGACUACAUGUUCAAGUAAUCUUAAUUUCUUCUCCCCUUUUUUGAUUAUCUUCCUAUUUUCCUAUUUCUCUAAAUCAAGCUUUAUGUAAGGGAAUGACCUUUUCCAUCUGGAUACUAUCAAAACCAAUCAUGAUGCCCUGAAAAUGGUUAUUAACGUAUUACUUCUUUUCUGGUCGUUAAAAAGGGUCCACACCAGGAUUUGAGAUUUCUUGCUCUGUCUCUGUCUCUGUCUGUAGGUGCAAUUUACUGUCUCUGCAAAGAUGGGAUAGGAGAAAAAGAGCUUCAAACAUCAAUAGACUACGCAUGUGGAACCUUAGCAGAUUGUAAUCCAAUCCGUGAAAAGGGUCAUUGUUAUCAACCAAACACCAUCAAAAGCCACUGUGAUUGGGCUGUUAACAGCUACUUCCAGAAAGCAGCUCAAGUCCCUGGAAGCUGCAAUUUCUCCGGCACUGCCACUACCAAUCAAAACCCACCUUCCAGUAAAGUCAACUACCCUCUAAACGUCUAUAUAGCUUUGAUGAAAAAAGUCGUUGUCUUGAUGAAUGUUGUUUUGUGCAGAUUUGGUAACAGGUUGCAUAUUUCCUUCAAGCCCUAGGUAAAAGAUCACUUCCAUUAAGCUAAAGCUGUCUCAUUUACAAAAUUGAGACUUUAAAAAAGUAAGCUUUUUCUUUUUUCGUACUUUAUAACAGCUCUGCAGCGUCUCCUCCAUCAACAACACCACCGGGAGCAACUCCAACAAACGGAACCACUCCAUUUCCGGGAUCUCCGACAAACGGAACUACUCCAUUUCCGGGAUCUCCAACAAACGGAACCACUCCAUUUCCGGGAUCUCCAACAAACGGAACCACUCCAUUUCCUGGAUCUCCAACAAACGGAAAUUCUUCAUUUCCGGGAACUCCUCCUGUGUUUGGUCCAACCGGAGGCUUUAACCCAAGCAAUAGUGCUUUUAGUUUGGCCAUUUCCUCUGUUUUCACACUCUGUUUCUCAUCACUAUCGUUUCUAUGGUGUUCUGAUCUAAGGUUGGUUCGUCUUUGAUGUGAUUCCUCUUUGGUUGGGAAAAAUAAGCUUAGGUGUUUGUUUGGUUUUUUUUUUCUCUCUGUUCUUUCAUCUAUGUAAAGGUUGCUCUCACUGGAAUUCUUGAGUAAAGAAAAAAAUAAACAGAACAUAAAUCUCAGUGAUGAGAUUGGAAACAAAUGAGACCUGAGGGAAGUGGUGAGUUUAUGACGAAGACUAGUCAACAACAACCAUAAAACAAAUACCAUUUAUUUUAUAUACAAAAAUAAUAUCUCAUGAUCAAUCAUAGACUAAAAAAUGGAGAACUUUUGUUUGGUGUGAGGAAUUUGUAUUAUUUAUUCAACAAAAAGACCAACCAACAAUGAAUGAAGUGAAGUACCAACUACUAGUACUACUACUCGAGAGAAUAUUUUGGUAAGAAACACACCUUCAAUAAUGGCCCAAGGCUCUCUAGGAUAUACUUUGAAUCUCUUUACGCCGACAAGUCUCUCUAACAAACUCUGUGAUCAGUUUAGCAACAGCAGCUGGUUUUUCGACGUGAGGAAGAUGUCCACAGUCUGAUAUUUGUUCCACACGUGCCUUCGAUAACUCUCCGUGCAGUCUCUGCAUUGAAGAGAAAUGGAUUAUGUCUAGAGAGACCAUUUGAAUAUGCUUAGUGAAGACAGAUCGAAAACGCUAACCCAAGCUAGCUUGUUGCUAAUGAUUUGGUCAUCCUCUCCCCAUAGUAUCAGUGUCUUCUGUGAAACCUGCAGACAGAAUCUUUUGAUUAGCCUGCAACAGAACAUGAACAGAAACAAAAGAAAUAAAAGCAAGCAUUGAACAAGAAUGCAAAGUUUCUCUUCUUGAUUCUUUUCUCUUCAAGAUGAGCUGGAAAUGAUUAAAAAGCUACCUUUUUUAUAAGAGAAGUAACGUUGUAUCCUCCACUUGUCAUAAAACUAACAGCUGCAUCUUCCCACCAAGGAUAUAGACAAUGCAAGCGACCAAUCUAGAUUGAGCUUGUAAGCGGAAAAUCAGAUUGAGAGCUAAGUUUAUCGAUAAGGACUCCAAAGAAUAGCUUCUUUACCUUUGUCCAGUCCCAGCUAGUUUCCAAUGAGAUACCAUUGAAAGAAAGGAAGUUUGCAUAUAACCGCAAUGGAAUACUCUUCAGUAGAUAUACCUAAAGUUCCCAAAUCAUAUACCCAAAAACCCGUAAAGUUAAAAAGGAUUGUGAAGAGUUUCAUCUUCCAGUACAUUCAGGGGACUUUAAUGUAUAGAAGGUGAUGUGAACUUACCCCAGCAUAAGCUGCUGCUUUGGGUAAAGUUGCCAAGUUUCCUGUACCUUCUGCGUAAACGCUUGCGUCCAUUAAAACCAAGGACUCAACCUGAAUAAUUCAUCAUAUUGGUCAAAUUAUCUUGAACAAGUUUGCAAGUAAACCUCUUGUUGGGAAAUAAUGAAGCUCCUUAAUGUUUAUAUAAGUACCGCUUCUGGAUGAUUGACCGCAAUGUCUACUGCAACAGCAGCACCGAGGCUCGGCCCAACCAAAACCACAGGCCUUUUAAUAUGAGACUUCCAAAACUACGGAUCAUACAAGGAUGGACAAAUCAAUUCACACUUGGAAAACAGAGAAAGCCACACAAGUAAAGAAAAUGACUACAAACCUUGUAAAAAUGCUCUCUUUUAGACGCUACAUCACACGGUGGAAGUUUCCCUUUUGAAAACAGAGGAGCAAGAAACAAAUAAGCCCGUAAGUAAGAUAACUGUUGGCAAGUUUGGAGAAACAAAUAAAAGGGGAAAGGAAGGAAAAGAUAAGAGAAGACCAGAAGGGAACACCUAAAUCAGAAAAACCCCAACCAAGGAUAUCAAAUGCCCAAGUUUCUAAACCGGCUUCUUCGAGCAAUGGAUAAGUGUAUCUCCACUCUAAACAAGAACUGUUUACAAGUGUUUUAAACUCAAGAUACUAACUCAAGACAUAUUACAGCAUUUUGAUUAGUACCUAUCAAAUCCGUGCAGGAGCACUACAGGACUUGUCUCAUUCCGCAUAAGCGGCGUCACACAACUGCUCAUGAUUCUAUCUUCCGCGAAGCUUACCUACACAUUGCCACAGUACAUGACAAUGUUAAAAGAUAUCAUGCUUCUACAGGUUGGAGAUUCUUAGAUUGCUUGAAAUGUUUAUAUGCUCACUUGAAAGUAACAGAUGAUUUGCACAUCACAUGCAAAAGACCUACAGACUAGAGGUUCUUGAUUCUUACACUGCUUUAAAUGUUUACCCUCACUUGACUUGAAAGUAAGAUCAAAAACUUGAAUUUAAGACAUUAAAGUCAAUCAGUCAAAUGUGUGUCAUGACCCAGUUGCAGCUAGUUGAGAAGCUCAAAUUCUUUGGAACAUACUUUCGACCAAAUAAAAAUUGAAAUAAACAUGGAGGAUGGAAAUUACUUGUACGGGAAGCCUCUCGAUUCUGGCGGCGAGCUUUAGAGCAAACGUGUCUUUGAUUCUCUCAACAUCGCUCGGUAGAAACGUCGGAAAUUUCUCCGCCGUCACCGUGAGUGACCUUUUCAUUUUACUUUCCACCUUAAAAUUCGGCGGCCGUCCCGUCGCCGUCGCCGCUAACAGCAUCGCUGAGCUUCUUGCUCAGUCUGCCACGACGAGCGGUUGGUACUUGAUAGAGAAGAUAUCACACGUGGCAAGUAAGACAAUUGAUCGAAGGAGUUGAAACGCUGUCGUUUAACUGUGAAGAAGAAUCACAGCCAGACAAAAGAUUUCUAAAUAAAAGUCAACUCAUAGUUUUGACCCAUCAAAAGUCAACAUAUUUAGUAACCGGCAAUCAAGUAAGUGUGGUCCUCUUUGUUUCACAAAAUGGAAUACCAAAAAGUUACUCGGUAAAAGUUACAAGAGCUGGUCUUAGACAAGUGUAAUAGACAAAAAACUUUGAGAAGCAUUAACCAAAAAGAACCCAUAUUCUGAUGUAACACAACAAAAAAACAUAGAAUACACAAUGUAAUAAUAUGUAUUUGGCUCAUCAAAAGAGAUUGAUUUAAUGUUUACAAAACUGAACUAAGCAAGAUACGAAAUCAAUCUACAAGCUUCCCUUGGAUUUCAUAGAACAAACGGUUGGAGUCUCGGCUGAUUCUCUCAGCUCCACGCAUGAUCUUCUUACAAUCUUCAUGCAACUUCUUAGGCAUGAACUCUCUCAGCUUCAUUUGAGGGUCUUUUAUAUCGAAAUUAUUGUAUACCUCUCUUGCAGGCAAAACAUGCUUGUGCCAAAAAUCAACCAGUGCCGGUUUCAUAUCCUCCCAAAACUCGGUAUCUCGCCAAACUCUGAAGAGGCUGCUUCCAUUGCGAGUCCAGCUAUACAGAUCCAACCAAUCUCUAUCCACAAUCUCCAUCAAACCCUGAAGCUGUGGGACACAUUGCCAGUGAACCUUCUUCCACGGAUACACUUCCGCUUUGUUAUCCCUGUAAAAUGGGCAUUUCACUUCUAACACGCCACUUGAAGUUACUCCGUCUUCUUUAACCACAUUGAUCAAUCCAUCAGGAGAAGCUCCUAACCAGUUUUCUUCAGGGUCUUCACCGUUCUUGUACACCACGAACUCAGGCAUGAGGAUCUCGUUCCCCGUUAACUCCUUGUAUCUCUUGAGUGCUUCAACUUCAUUGCUAGCGUCCCAAAACGUGGCUUGGUUUCCAGAGAACUGCUUAGCUACCCCGAUUUUCUCUAACCAAAGCUCUCGUCUACCCUCAGGCCAAAACCCAAUAGCAUGUGAGAAAUUACUAGCCGUUAGCCUAUUCUUCCUCAGAUCUUGCCAAUUCUUGCGCCAAUGUUGCUGGGAUGUUUCAGUAACCGGUGCUUCUUUCUUUGAAACUAUACUAAUGAUUUCGGAAAUUACCUUUGAAUCAGGCUCUGGUUCGUUAUACGGAAUGUGCAACAAGCGGUGACAGAAAGCUAGAUCAUCACUGCCAUGAAAAUAAUCGAAAGAGGUGUCAAGAAGAAGAAUCAAAAGUUAAUCAUUUCCCCCAAAUCGAUAUAUAGAUAAUUACGAGCAAGCAAAACAAAAUUGAAGCAGCUAUAUCAGACAAAAGUACUGGAGAAGAGAGAAUAGAGAUAGCAAAACUGACCGUGCGCGCUUGUAAAAGGUACGACGAAGCAUAUCGGCGACGGCACACCGGCGUUGGAUAGACGACACUCGAUUCUGAAGGGUUUAGACAGGAAGCGACGACUCUGUCGGUAAUAAAAGUCAUAACGAGGCUUACUGGCCCAAACAUUUUAUGGGUCAGACUAAAUUAGUUGGGUAGGCCGUAUCAGUCCAAACCUUUUCACUUCGGUUUGAAAUCGGAUUGAUUCGGUUACAUUCGGUAUAAUGAAUUCGAUUCGAUUAUUUCGUUUCGGGUGUUUUUUUUUAGUUCGUUGGUUUAAAAAUUAAAUAAUGAUACCUUAUGGUUCGGUUCGGUUCGAUUUAUGUGCCCCCUACUGUAAAACCCUCCGACAUGGUGUGAAAAUCUUUGAAGCUACUCGUCGUCGGAUUCUCUUUGUCGGAAAAUCUCUUCUCAACUAGUCUCUUCUGGUUGUUUCACCAGCCGCCACAGGAUCGGCGGGAAGUAUUUCAUGCGGGUGUUUACGGUUCCAUUACUCUCACAUUUGAGAGGAUUAAUUCGAAGAGCACCCAAUUCGCGAUUCUACGCGGUUCCUGCACUUGCCUGGACGAACCCGAAAAUCUCACACUCGGAGCAAGAGAAAGAAGGUAACUUUGAUGGUAAAGCAUUGGAAUUGAACGAAGUUGGAGUUUUGCGAGUUUUGACUAGUAUGAGGGAUGAUCCUUAUCUUGCUUUGGCGUUUCUGAAACGAAUUGAAGGAAAUGGGGCUUUGCCUAGUGUCCAAGCUUAUGCAACUGUUAUCAGAAUUGUUUGUAGUUGGAGUUUGGAUGAGAAAUUGGGUCCGUUUUUUAUGAAGCUCGUUAGAAAAGGAGACGAGGGUCGUGGUUUCAGUGUCAUGGAUUUGUUAAAUGCCAUUGGAGAAGCAGAAGAGGAUGAGAAAGUGUCGUUUCUGUUACUAAGUAGGGUCUCUAGUGCCUUGGUUAAAGCCUAUGCUAACCUUGAAAUGUUUGACGAAGCUAUCCAUCUUUUCUGGAAGAUGGAGAGGCUGGGUUUGGAUGCGGAUGCACAUACUAAUGUUGUUGUUGUUCAAGCAUUGCAUAGAAACGAGGAUAUAAGAGGAGUAGAGAAGUUUCUUAACAAGUUGUUAAGCUCAGAGACGAGGAAUCCUCGCGUGUUUUAUAUGAAUUUCAUUGAAGGGCUUUGUUUAAAUCAGAUGGCGGGUAUAGCUUAUAUUCUACUCCAACCACUGAGGGUUGCAAAUAUUCUUGUGGAUAUUAGAGAUCUCGCAAUAGCGUAUCGCAAAGUGGUCCGGGGGUUAUGUAAUGAGAUGAAAAUAGAAGACGCUGAAAGUGCUCUUCUUGACAUGGAGGAAUGUGGGAUUGAUCCGGAUGUGUAUGUUCACUCGGCGAUAAUUGAAGGACAUCGCAAGAACAUGAAUAUACCUAAAGCUUUGGACUUUUUCAAUAAGAUGGUGCAGAGAAAAAGAAGAAUAAACUGUGUGAUUGCAAGCUCAAUCCUUCAGUGCGUUAGUCAGAUGGGCAUGUUCUCGAAAGCUUAUCAUCUGUUUAUAGAGUUUAGAGAGAAGAACGUUUCUCUUGAUAGGGUUUGCUACAAUGUCGCGUUUGAUGCUUUGGUAAAGCUUGGCAAAGUUGAAGAAGCUAUCAAGUUGUUCCGAGAGAUGACUGGUGAACAAGGUAUAGCUCCUGACGUCGUCAACUACACGACUUUGAUAGGUGGUUGCUGUCUACAUGGAAAGAUUCACGAUGCUCAUGAUUUGAUGAUUGAAAUGGAAGAAAGAGGUAAAACACCUGAUGUUGUUACAUACAACGUACUUGCCGGUGGAUUAGCUAGGUAUGGUUAUGUAGACGAGGCAUUUGAAAUUUUAAAAGCAAUGGAAGCUCAGGGUGUAAAGCCUACUUCCGUUACACACAAGAUGGUCAUCCAAGGCCUGAUUGUUGCAGGUAAAACAGACGAGGCGGAAGCUUUCUAUGAGAGUUUGGGACAUGAAAAAUCUCUGGAAAAUGAGGCAAGUAUGGUAAAAGGUUAUUGCGAAGCUGGUCUUCUUGAUCAGGCCUUCGAACGAUUCAUUAGAGUGGACUUUCCUCUGCCCAAGAAUGUGUUUUUCACACUAUUCACUAGUCUUUGCGCCGCCAACGAUAAAGAUCACAUCGGCAAAGCUGAAUACUUACUGGAUAGAAUGUCCCAACUAAUUGGAGUUGAACCUGGCAAGUGCAUGUUUGGGAAAUUGAUUGGCGCUUGGUGUCGAGUUGACAAGGUGAGAAAAGCCAGGAAGAAAUUCAAAGUUCUAGUAUCUUGUAAAAAGAUAAUCCCUGAUGUGUACACUUACACAACCAUGAUCAACGCGUAUUGCCGGAAAGACGAGCUCAAGGAAGCCUAUGCUCUUUUUCAAGAGAUGAAGCAGAGGAGAAUCAUUCCUGAUGUGGUAACAUACACAGUUUUGCUCCAUCACAAUCCAAAGUGGGAUAUGAAGAGGGAAAUGAAAGCCCUUGGCAUUAAACGAGACGUUCACUACUACACGGUUUUGAUUGAUCGGCAUUGCAAGACUGGAGAACUUGAAGACGCGGAAAGGAUCUUUGGUGAAAUGAUUGAAAGUGGGGUGGAGCCUGAUGCUGCUCCUUACACAGCACUAAUAGCUCGUUGUUGUCGGGAUGGAUAUUGUAAAGAGGCAAAAAGGAUCUUUGAUCUAAUGAUUGAAAGCGGGAUAAAGCCUGAUCUUGUGUCUUACACAACACUAAUAGCUCGUUGUUGUAGGGAUGGAUAUCUUAAAGAGGGAAAAAGGAUCUUUGAUCUAAUGAGUGAAAACGGGAUAAAGCCUGAUCUUGUGUCUUACACAGCACUAAUAGCUGGUUGUUAUAGGAAUGGAUCUGUACUUACCGCGGAAAAAUUGAUGCAAGAAAUGUUAGACAAGGGGAUUAAGCCAACUAAUGUAUUCCUGUCUGCAGUACACCAUGCUAAAUAUAAGUCCAAGAGACUCCAAUCUCGAGAGUGAUCAAAGAAUGUAUGAAGAGCCUAUAUUUAAAAAGCUCAGGUGAGGUUGUGGUAACACAACUAUUGGUCAUGAGAACAGAGUUUUUUGUCAGCUGACAAGGAAACUGGGAUUCUGCAUCAGCGUAAAUAAGGAUGUGAGCUCACUGUUCAUGUAAAUUCACUUCUUUGCUUCUUCUGCUAUUCUCCAACCGUUCUUUCCUAUCGUUCCUUUGGUUUAUACAGUGAUACAAGUUUUUUCAGGGCUUGAUUUCUUGGGAACGGAACUUGUAGAGCCAGGAACGGAAAAGAGACAAAUACGGGACCAAAGCUUUUCUAAUGGAGCUUGAGAACAGAGGAACCAUAAAGGUAGAAACUCUGCUUAUCAUGAAGCAUUUGGUACCUAGAUUUUAUACGGUUUGAUGUUAUACAUUUAGUGAGUUAUGUUUUUUCUAUUAAUUUACUUAAUCAAUAUUUUGCAAUAAACUCACCUAAUUCACGACACUACCUCUGCAGGAGUCAAGGUAAAGCACGAUAACCGGACUGGAAAUAACCUCGCCAAGAGUAAAUAUGAGGAUUUUCAAAGCUCUUUGUGAACGCUGCAUUUUCUAAUUGUGUCUUCACAACACAAGAAGUGAUCUCCAGAAAGCCUCACGAGGAUAAUUGUAACAAGUAAAAUGUUGUGUUAUAUACAAGCAUGUAUGUAAUAAGAAAAUAUUAUAGUAAACUGUAAAUCAUAUAAGAUCUUUGAUUUAGUAUUAUGCACAUAAAAUUCUUUUGUAAUCAACGGUCCAAAACCGAAUCACAACUUCGGUUCAAUAUGAUUACUUCUUCUGUAUUCUUUUAUAACCGAACAGCCAAUUAAACUCCCACAAGUAGUUCUGUGAUAUUGAUGUAGCCGUAUAGAUAAGUGAGAGGAAUUCGUAUCUGACUGGGAAGAAAGUCAUAAACCAAGUACAUAAAUUGAUAUCUGUGUCCAAGAUCUCACCUUAAUAACUCUACUGUUAGUGGUCAUAAUCAUAAAAUCUCACCAAGUCUCAAUUAAUAUCAACUACUCGAGACGAUUAAGUUUUAGUUUUAGAAAUGAGAUUCUUCCGUUAUUUUGUUAUCUACGCUUAGGCUUGGGUUUCUUCUGUUUCCACAAGUUGAGCAGAUAAACCACUCCUUCCUUGAGAGUCGCUUUUCUUCCUUCUUUAAAAUUCCAAAGCUCGGGCACUAUGUACCUUCCACUUCCAUUAUACUCGUUCCUUUCUAGAAGCGCUUGUGUAACGGCUUCAAACACUUCUUCCCCCAUCUCUUUCCUCAGUUCUUGCAGCUUCUCAUCUUCUUCAUUUAGUACCUCCUGCAAAAACAAAAAAAGAAAUUGGUUUCUCUCAUGUUUUUAGAUUGCAGGAGCUAUUAUAUAUCAUCUAAGAGCAUUGUCUAAGAGAGAGAGAGAGAGAGAGAAAAAAAAGAAGAAGAGGUGUAUGUAUUGUUACCUUGGGGGUUUUUCCGUCUUUUACGAUGACCUUAAUCGGAUGCCAAGCCGAGUCUCUCAAGAGGUCGUCCCACGAGGACCAAAGCUUGUCAGCUUUUUCAACAGCUUCUUCAGGUGGAUAUUUCUCUUUAGCUAUUUUUUGGAAUGGUUUAAUAUCCAAUUCUCCCAUUCCCUUCACACCGAUCGGACCACGAACUGCCAACCCUUGCAUUGACUGCACACAGCUUGAGCAUGUUAGUAGCAGGUAUCAGAGCAUAAAAUGGCAUAAUCACUUCCACUCUCCUCUGAGUGUUCCUAUCACGAGCUACCAGGCAUAAACAUGUUGCAAUAGUGCAGCCUCUCACACUAGAUCAGCGAACAAAUGUUCAUGAAGCUGAAUUCCAAAGAACAAACCCGCAUAGGAAGAAGGGCAGAGAGAUGGAAAGGCUGAGAAUUGCUUACUUUGAUCAAAGCCUUGCGCGCAUCCUGAAGCUCAUCGUUAGUGUAGCCAUGUCUUACAACAAGAGCUUGAGACUGACUCUUGGAAAUCUGCCUCCUCUUCUUUCUCCUUCAGUUUUUCCUUUGUCUUUUCUAUCUCUUUUUCUAACUUUUCCUUCGUCUCAGGAUCUUCCCCUUCUUGCAUGCGUCCCAUGACCUGCAGGUCACCCCUCAUACGCUCUAUUUCCAGCUCCAAUGCCUGCUCAUCAUCGACUUUUUUCUCCAGUUCACGGACUUUCUUACGUAAUUCAUCUUUCUCCCUCUGUAAAACAACAGCCAGCUUUAUAACUAUGGCCAGAAAUAAUCUGACAGCUUUUAAAGUGUAUAAUUAUUCAUACAAGCAAAAGCGUACCUGUUGCUGCUCUGCCAAUCUCAUCAUGUCUUCAUCAACUUUGUUUUGCUCUUGAGUAGCCAUUAAGUUCUGACAAGGAAAUUAAAAGAUUUCACGAAUCACUACUGCUAAGAUUAAGGUAGUUUCAGGGUAAUUUUGUCCAACGGAUGUGAUUGUUACCUUCUGUUUUUGCCAUUGAAGCUUUCUUCGCUCUAACUUAUUCACUGCUUGACACUUAUCAAGAUAUUUCUCUCGCUCUUCAUAUUCUAUCCUUUGAGCUUCCAGACGCCGGGAGGCCAGUUCAUGUUCUUCGUGAAUACUGGCCAAAUAUUCACGCGCCGCUUGCUGCAUACUAUUCAUUUCUAAUCAUUGAAAAGUAAACUAAUAAGUUCCCAAAAUACUAGUCAACCACAUCAAUCAGGCAAAAAUUAAUUUCAUCGUAAGAUCACUUACUUUCGUUAUGUGUGUUGAUCAUUUCAUCCUUCUCUCUCAUCAUUUUCUCAAGCUUUGUACUGGUUUCAUUGUAUUUGCUCUCCAUUUGUUGAAGGCUGGUGCUUUUGGUCUCCAGUGUGUUUUCCAAGUUUGAGACAAGCGUCAAUGUCUUUCUUUGGUCUUCGGCCUCUUUACCAGAAACACUCUUCAAGUCCCCUUUCUUCCUAAGGUUGUCACCAAAAAUUCUCGAAUGGAACUCUGCCUCUUUUGCUAUCCAACCAUAAAGUUUAUCACCUCGAUCACGAGGCCCAGUCGCAUCAUAGUCUUUCUUCCCACACUGAUUGACUUCGAAAUAUUUGUCAAACAUGGUCGCAUUUCUGAAGCCGUCCCACUCUUUACCAAAGGAAACAAUAGCAAAACCGGUAUUACCAACUCGGUAGUUCCACACUGUGUCAACUUUGAGGGGAUUAAACCCUUUGCUGAUCAAUUCUUCCUUUAACUUGUUUCCACUCUCACCAACAUACCUCUUUUGUUUUUCAUCAUAGGUUCUCCUGGUGUUCGCCAAGAUCCCUUUCCAGGGAUACACAAACAUCGUAUCCCCGUUACCAGCACCCAAAGAAUCAUGCCUCUGAGCAAACCUAGCACCAUGGCUGAGACCAAUCUGUUGGACAGGUUCUUCUCCCUCUUUAGCAGCAGCAAUGAGGCGGGGUCUUUUGGGAAGGAAUGUUUCGUCUUCGUAGCUUAAGGAGGAGUUGGGUUUAGGAGAAAACAUUGGUCUUUCUUUGCCACUUGGUCCAGGAUCAUUUCCUGAGACAGACUUUGGUUCAGCUAUAGAAAUCCAUGGUGAACUGGAUUUCUCAACGCCAUUCAGUUCCCCUGCUGCAGAACUACCUUUCCAAUUCCCGGUUAACUCAUCUUCAGGACGAGAAGAGACAUCUGAUGUUGCAGUAGGAUCCCGAGGCCGGAGGUACUUCCUCAUGUAUCUCUCAAGUGCGAGAUGUCUGGCUUUUUCUCGCGCAUCCUUGGUAUGGGAACAACCGCUGAUAACAGAAGAAGCAUGACGACGCAAGUCCUCAAACCGGUAGUCACGCUUUCGAUCUCUGUAGCAGAAGGGACAUCUGAACAAAGACUCUGAAACUUUGACCUUCCGAGUGCCAUCUUUCAUUUCACUGUAGUAUCUAUACUCCAAAUCAUCUAGCUCUGCUCUGGUAUACAUUGCAACCUAGAACCAGAAAACGUUUACACAGUAAAGCUACAAGAAAGCAAAUGAAAGUGGUACGAACAACGAAUUCUAUUUGUGGUGUGUAGACCCUAAUCGCUGAACCCUAAACCUGAAAUUGACUCACCCAAUUCCAGAAACCUACUAAAAUCUAAAGCAGUGUUCUUUAGGAAACAUGGACGAAGAACAUGAGUAAGCAAAACGACCCAGAAAAUCAUCCAGUAAAUUACAAAGACACGAAAUUUAGUGAGACGGAGAUUAGAACACAAAACCCUAACUUUAUCCAACGGCAUUUCUCAAACCAAAUAGAGAAGAUCAGAAGAAGAUGAAGAUAGAACACCAAACCCGAAGAAAAGAGACCUAAAAUGGAGACAGAUAAAGCAACUAAACAAAAUGGCACACAUUGGAGAAUUUCGCGGAAACAGCUUAAGAGUUUCUUUUCGCAAAUGUCUGUAAAUACGACGAACUGUAUAGAAACAAGCGGAGGAGAAGAAGCAAAACCUUUCGUGAGCGAAGAGAAUGGCGAGGACUCUCCUUCGAGCAGGUGAGAGAGAUACACGCAAACCUUUGACUGGAAAGGAACAAGUGAAGACGAGAAAUAAAAUGCAGAAACAAACAAACAAACGUCGAUUGUGUUUCCUCUUUGUAUAGUCAUCUCGUAAAUCUAUGCCAUUUUUAGCUACGUGCUUGCAUAGGAAUGGUCUUUUAGACCGAACCGAACCGGAAUAAACCAAUCACAUAACUAUUUAAACCGAAAAAUUGAAUUGAAAUUUGUGUAUACUGUACUACUAGCUUGAUGCCUUGGUUGGCUCCAUCUCUAAUAAUCGAAUUGAAAUUGAACAGAGCCCAACCGAUGAAAAAUAAAAUAAAAAAUCAUUUUAACAGACAAAACCAAACCGAAUUUGCUCCGAGGAAAACGUAAAAAAAGGUUACAACGUAAAAAUGAUAUCAACAGAGUUCCCAAUCAAGGAUAAUUCGACAGCUUGGAGAACGUUUUGUGACUUUACAAAGCUCCUCGUAGAUUUCCGAGUCCGAAACAUAUCGAGGAUAAUCUGUGACACUCAGAAUGAGUUUCUUGAGGACUGCUGCGUUUUCAAGAAAGUAAGUGGCUACUUUCAUCUCCUUUUCCUCCCAUUCAUGAACUCUUUUAAUCUCAACACACUCAAGAGUCGAUAAGAAACAUCGAGGCACAUCUCUCAGUUCGAAUACCUCAUUCUCCUCUGUAUAAACAACCGUCUGCAAAACACACACAACAAACAAAAAAAAAGGGGUGAGUUUUUCAAUAAUACAGAUACACAAAACCGAAGUGCAUGUUAUUUAAGCCAAAAUCUCCAACAGGUUUUACCAAAGUUAGGUGUUUCAGAUUCGGGCAACUCUCAAGUAAGGCAGGCAAAACCUGUAACAAGUCACCCGGAAACUCAGCUUCUAAACGGUGUAAGUUAUUGAAUUUGGGAAUCAUUCCUCCUUUUGAGUAAAGAGUAAGUGCCUGCAACAAAAAGAAAAGCAAAAAGGAUAUACAAGUGAGAGGUUUCAAAUUAGACAAAGUCCACAGAUUGUUGUAUGUAUACACAUAUACCUUCACUGUUUUCGUAGAGAUGAUCAUAUGUCCUACACGCGAUAUCCCAGUGAGAAAAUCACGGAUUUCUUUCCUCUUUGAUAAGUCCCCGGGACUAAAAAACGUGCCAAACUUGACAAGAAAUUUGACAUCAAGAUCAACCAUGAACAAAGAAGUCAGGUUCUUUACCACAAUUCUAUCAAAAUGGUCUUCUCGGAGACUCAUAUGCUCUAGCCCUGGAGCAUCAAUCUCAAGCGUGAAGUCCCCUCUCGAAUCGCAUCCGUCCCUGCUGAGCGGAACUAUAAACCUCUUCAGGCUCCAAGAUUUCACACGCAAAAACGGAUCAUCAUGAUCCUGAAAAUUACCAUCUAUAUCUCUCAACAAGGUCAGCUCUUCAAGUACAGGACAUCCCAAGAUGAUUUUCUCCAGAUUCUCAUUAGCACGAAGCUGAACUUGUUCAAAGGUGAUGGAUUUGAGACAAGGCAUAGAGACAAAACCAGGAUCCUCAAGACCCGAAUAAGACAGCUUCAAGGAAACCAAAGUCUUGCUCGUGUAGAGAUUCAGAGGCAUGUACUCGACACAAGGAUAGAGAAGUGUGUCAGGAUCUACAUAAAAGGUACUGCUUUCAACAUCUAGAUGUUGAGUUCCCCGGUUAAUAGCUUCACCGAUCCGGUCCUGGAUCCCGAAUAUCUCCUCGGUCAUGCACUUGAUCUUGACUUUUGGCAGGCGUGACUGGUUAAUCUCGAGAAAUUUGUCAAUGAAGCUGAAGAACACUUGGUUAUUCUUAUAAGGGAAAUCAGAGCAGUCUAUGUCAAGCACGGGAACAUUUAGCCACAGAUUUUUCCAUCUGGUCGCUAAAACGCUCGUCUUCACCGAAUCUUUAGUCGGAAGGUAUGAUAGUAUUUGAGUAAGCAAAAAUUCCGGCAAUUCGCUGAUUCUAUCGAACCCAGGCAUCACGAGACUAAACACAUGAACAAACAACCACAACAAGAGGAUAAAUAAAUGGGUCUCGAUCGAAUCCUAAGGCGAUGAGUUUCUCAAAUUAAAUCAGGUAUGUAAACGAAAGAACUCACCGUGGAUUUGAUUCGCCGGCGGGUGGAUUAUCCGGCCACAGUGACCGAUAUUGAGAGAGAAGAGUGGUGAUUUUUGUGUGUAUGAAAUGAAAGGAAUCGUUUAGUAUUUAUACGUUUGAAGUGGUUCCGAUUCCAUUUUCACAGAGCGUUUAGAAAAUAAAAGGCUGCCAUUAUUAUCGAUUAAUGCAAAAAUCGGUUAGUUUUGUAGUAAUCGAUUAAGAAUAUUUUAGGAAAUUUUCCAAAAUGAUUGAUUUAUUUUUUUGGAGAUUUGAUAUCUUUUUCUUUCUUUUGGUCAAAGGAGAUUUGAUAUCUAAACAAUCUUCCAAAAAUCUUUUUUUAUUUUGUUAAUUAUAAAACCAAACGAAAAAGGAAAAACGAUGAUUAAGAUUCGGUUAAGAAAUUGCACUUAAUAUUAAGAUUUUAUUGGUAACAAUUGAGGAGAGUUGGUAUCACCAUACUUGAGAGCUCACACUGAUGAAAUCUAUAGAUAGAAAUCCUUCAAAAAGCAUAUGAUCCAAAUUGGUACUAAUGGAAACCAAGAACUAACAUGUUUUGCCCGAAAGCGAUAAAGCUCAGUCAAUCUUGGCACCCGAAGAGUGAGAUAACCAGUUUGCUCUCCAAGUAAUGGAAGGAGAAAGAAGACGCUCUGUUUUCCAACCUCCUGAUCUCAGCUUCAUAAAGAGGAGAGAACGAAAAAACAAGAAAAAGAGUGAAACAUCAAAAGUUAACACAGUUGAUUUCACGUUGUAAUGAUCUAAUCUAAUAUACCUUGUUGAGAAACUCGUCAUAGUGUUUAUCCAUCCAAGCUUCUCCUUGUGGAUAAAAAGCUGUGGUUUCUUCCAUAACGUUUGCCAUAACAAUCGCGUGAAUAUAUGAUUUCAACACAUCUGCAGCCGCUGAGUCUUUGUGCAAGAUCACACUAACACUUCCCUUUCUAUGUGCCAAUAAGUACUUAGCUGCGGGAGUGUGCAAUAGACAAGAACAGCGAGUUUACCCCCAAAACCAAACGUUUCCAAAUAUCAUUACAGAGCAGAAAAAGUCCAAGGGAAAGAAAAUCAAUCAAACCAUUCUUAUGAGAAGAAGCUCCAACACCAUUUAGGAGCUGCAUCCUGCAAAUAAAUUUGUCAACCUCACACAGAUCAUUUCCCUUAAAGCUGAGAUAAUCUCAGUUUCUUACAGACCGUGAUUUGUAGUGAUUCAAGUAUAUAACUUACAUAUCUGGACGAGGGAGAGAAGAAACUUUCACACCUAAGUGCACUCUCUUAUGCAAUGGGUUUGAAAUAGUUGACCUCAAUGAAGUAGCCCACACGGGCAACACACCCUCCAUUGAAGAAACCUGUUCGGGAGAGAGAACUGGCGACAUGUUUAGUUAAAGAAAGUUACUGAUAUAUAAUGCAAUGAUAAAGAGGAACCAAUAUAAAAACAAAGGGAAGCUAUUAAAACGUUCUAAGAAUCAAUGAUGCAUUUUUGAAAUUACCUUGGCCAGUUUGCAUGAAAUGUGCUAGAAGAAUCGAACUCCUCUCCAUGUUUAACGAAUUCAAUACAAGACACCGGACAGCUCUAUAGUUUGCUAGAUAUUUAAGAAAGGUUUAAUGAGAAAAGUUAGAGAAAUCCUGAUUUGAACUAGGCUUUAACCUUCAUCUGUAACUUACCAUACAUAUGAAACACGGUGAGAGAGAGAAACGAAAACCAAAUAGCCAAAGGGUUUCCAGAGGUAAACCGAGCUAGCAACAUUCCCAAUGACAUGCCCAUCAUCGUUGCCAUAGUCUCUUGGCUUCCUUCCUUUCAAUAGAUAGACAGACAAGAAAUCAAACUACUAAAAAAUUUCACAUUUUUAAGUUUCUUAAUCAUUCACAGUGAAAAGAAGUUAAGAAUACCUUUGCAGAUAUAUCGGCUGCAUUGUCUUGGAGGGCAAAGUGCUGAGUUAGAGCUGCUCUGGUUGCUCCACUUGCAACACCAGCUAAUUCAAUUAACGGAGAUCGAAAAAAAAUGUUAAAGAUCGAUAUGUCAGCUACAGUGAAAGCCGUAAGUUCUAUGUUUGAUGCAGGUGGUGAAACUUACUAAAUGAUCUUGAUAGGCUCCCUAAGCAAACCACAAUGAUAAAAGCAGAUGGAAACAGAGGGGAAAGAAGGUCCAUUAGCAUUCCUGCAACAAUCGCAACAAAAGCUUUUUAGUCAUUCAAAGUCUCUGAGAACCAAAUACAGUAUAUUUAUUUCAAGAGUGGAUGUGGCAACUAACUAUUAUUGUACUGAUGUAUUGAAAAAUAAAGAACAAAAGAACAUACCGAUAUCGUUCAUCAAGUCAGCAACUAGACGCCACAUUUUUGCAUUACUAUCCAGGUUGGAACCCUGAAGAACAGAAAAAUCAGAUAGUUCUCAUAUUGCAUUAGAUAUUGAUGCUCAGAAAACAAAAGAGAAUCAAUUAUUGGUAAUAAAACAGCAAAGUUCUCACACAACAUAAAAAAAACAACGAAACCAGGCUAAAUUUGAAGAAGAAGAAAACGUAAGAGAAAUUUAAGGUAUAUGAUUUGGCAGUAUCUACGAUAUAAACACCUGAUAGAAUGUGAACAAUAUGCCUCCAAGCAUCCCAGAAAAAUCUCUCAGAAACCACUGCAUAUUACAAACAAGAUAUAAUCACUAUAAUCCAUAGUGCUUGAGAGGGCCAAUGAGUUCCAAAGUAGGAGAAAUAUGUUAUAUUUCAGCACCAACAAAACUCACCUGAAAUGUCGCACCUAUAACUGUUGCGGAUUUCUCACCAACCCCAAUUGCACUCAAAAGAGCCUGACAAGUACUCAAAAUCAGAAAUGCUACAGCAGACAAAUUAAAGAACUCAAAAGUCCAAAACUUGAUCUCACCUGAGUGGAAAGCAUCAUCUUUAUAUAAGUUGAUAGCCCCUGCAAGAAAGAAAAAAAAACAUACUGAAAUCCCAAAUUCAAAGACAAAUCAAGUUUGACAGUUGCCAUAAGGCAUACAAGCAUAUUAUCUCACAUAUACCUGUAACGUGUCCCAUAAUUGAAACCCUACAUAAUCCGGAGUAACACUACCAGGAAAACCCUGCAUUGAGCAAAGCAAAACCCAUUUGCCUCAGUGACCUUAAAAACGAGGCUAGAGGGAAAACAGAAAGAAAGAAAUCACUUGCCUCCGGUACAAAUGCUUGAAGAACUCGUCUCCAUACAUGGUUGAAGCGAUUAGCAGACCUAUGAUGAAUUACCCGCAGGAGAAAAAAUCUUAAAUUUGUAGAGGCUUCACUCGAAGCAACCAGAUUUGGAUUGAAAUAGAGGAAGAAAGGGAAGACCUUCGGAUGGAGAGAGAAGGGGAGGCAGUGAUGGUUGCUGUUCUGAAAAGCUUAGUAGAAGAAGAACCAUUCCACUCUUCGAGUGUAAUUGAUGCGCAAUCAGUGAGUUCUUCUUCUCCCAUGGCGAAUUUUGGCUUCUUACCGAAGAUGUUGCAAGAAAGAAUAUGAAUUUUUAAUUGACUUUCAAAUGUUUAGACUUUUUUUUAGUAUAGGUGCUCUGGGUUUGGGUUUCAAUUGCGACUGAACUAGAAAUGACCCAAUUGCUCUUUUCAACUAACCUCUUUACGCAAAAUCAGUCUAAUUUUAAAAGAAGGAUCGAUCGUUGGAGACAACUUACAAACACUCCUCACUGAUAAUUUGAUUACCCCAAUGCUUAACAGAUUCCAUUUGCAACUAUAAAUACACAUAUAGUUUCCACACUAACACCAAUUAUCUCGUCACUUAAAGUUACCGUCUUUCAUUUUCUUCUAUAGUUGCCUCUGUUAAUUUCUUUUCAUUGUGGUCACUGGUAAUGUUUCAUCCUGUUUUGAAUCCAUUUGCUAGGUUUUGAUCAUCAUUCACCAACUUUAUCGAUGUUGUUUCAUAUAAAUUUAUCUCUAUAACACAGUUGGUAUACUUGUAUCAUAUCAAGUUUUGUCGUCAACCAAUUUACCAUAUUCACAUCUUCUGUACAUGUGGUUCUUUUGCUCUUUAUUGUUUCGUAACAUAUCUUUGGAUAUUGUUGUCAACCAAUAUAUCAUAUUCAUCUUCUGUACAUGUGGUUCUUUUGCUCUUUAUUGUUUGGUAACAUAUUGGACAUUUGUUUCAAACUCUUCUUGUGAGACAUGGAAAAACUCUUUGCUAUCUUGAUGAAAACUCUUUGCUAACUUGAUGACUAUCAUAUAAGCUCUUGGAGCAAUUGUAGAGGAAUAAUCUCAUCGAGACGACAAAACGAACCUUUAUGAGGAAUUGCUAUCCAUAAGACAACAUUUUAUCCCAAUGAAAAAGCUUAUGUCAAAGCCUUUCCAACAGUUCGUAGAACUAAUGUAAACCGUUCUCUAUUGAUAUCAGAAACAUAUCCAGACUCUUUAUUAACCACCGUUGAUUUAACUUCAUUCCAUAUUUUCAGGGUCAAGAACGCUAGUGGUGUUGGUUGAAUGUAGUUCUCAGCAUCCAUCAAAUGAUAAUUAGAUCGGAGUAUUUUCUUUUGCAGAUUACAAAAAUAUAUCAAAACUUCUUGUUAAUAGCUUAUUCAAAUCUUAAGUUAAAAAUUCUUUUCUAAUUUUUUUUUUUGCAUAAUUUCAUUACACUUUUAUUAUUAAGCAUAAAUUAGGUAUAAAUUGAACAUAAAUUUGGCAUAAAUUAGGCAUAAAUUUUCCAGUUGUGUGCAUUCAUCUAGAAUAACGAAUAUUAGUUUAUAUUUUCUCCUUUUUUGGACAAGAUUAUCUCCAACGUGUUGUAAUCUUUGGAGACAUGGGAAAGAUUUAAUUUAGAACUGUCAAUCGGGCCGUCCACCCCGUCCUCCGUCCACCAUUUAAUUUAACGGACAUAAUUGGAUUGGUUGUAAUGGAUAUCGGACCAAAAAAUAUCUACACCCAAAUUGGACCAUAUCCAGAUGGUCUUUUCACAGGCUGCCCAUAUUAUUCUGUUGACUUUUUAUUUGAUAUGUUGACUUUUGUUUCUUUUACUAAUAUAGAUCAAAUUUUUUUAAUUUUCUGAAUAUUUGUUUGAUCUUUUGGCUACUACAAAAUUGAUAAUUCUAUAUUUUUUUUUAAUUUAUAUAUUGAAAAUGUUUGAGUUUUUAUUAUAAAAAGGAUGAAGAAGAAUUAAGAAUCUUUGAAUAUACGAAGUACUUUUAACAUAAAGUAACAAACCAAAACUACAAGUAAUUUUAACAUAAUAAAUCAUUAGUACCCACAAACUAUUAAGUAUUUUUAACAUAACAAAUUAUUAGUGCUCACAAAUUACUAAGUUAUUUGAGAAAAUCCAUCACAUUAUGCUUCUUUUUCUUCCUCGUCAACAAACUCGAUCUCAUCACCUACAAAAUUGAAGAAGAAUUUAAUAAGAAAUCAUCACCUAAAAUAUGAAAAAAAAAUGUGAACUCAUCACCUAAAUUAUUACCAUUUCAUUUCAUAUCUUCACGGUCAAGAACGCUAGUGGGUGUUGGUUGAAUAUAGUUCUCAGCUCCCAUCAAAUGAUAAUUAGAUUGGAGUAUUUUCUUAUGCAGAUUUCAAAUAGAUAUCAAAACUUCUUGUUAAUAGCUUAUUCAAAUCUUAAGUUAAAAUUUAUUUUCUAAUUUUUUUUGUUGCAUAAUUUCAUUACACCUUUAUAACUAAGCAUAAAUUAUGUAUAAAUUAAGCAUAAAUUUGGCAUAAAUUAGACAUAAAUUUUCCAGUUGUGCAUUCGUCUAGAAUGACGAGUAUCAGUUUAUAUUUUCUCCUUUUUUGGGCCAAGAUUAUCUCCAACGUGUUUAUGGGAAAGGUUUAAUCUUUCUCCCAAAUCACAUUGAUCCAUUUUCUUGUUUUCCAAACUGUUCAUGAUGUAAGGCUGAAACGCAUUCAUACCGUUACUGUGCCUUGUAAGUUGAGGUUGAUGACUCAAAUGAGUACAAAGAUUUCCAACGCGUUUCUUUGUUUCGAGUCACAUAUUUCAAUGUUGCAGUAAAAAAAUACAACUAAAACUUUAAUUAAAUAUGUGAAAUUAUCAGAAAUUAUUUUUCAAAGAUGUGUAUAUCUAAUGAACCUACACUUUUUCAUUUGUUAGAAUUGUUUAUUACCAGAACAGAUUAAUUGUUGAAAAUCACUACAAUGUUUCAAUUUUAAAAAAUAAGGUAAUGUAUGUGGCAGGGUUAUCUAGUAAAUGAUUGUAAGAUAUAUAUAUAUCAAUAUAUUUGAAUUUUAAAGAUAAGUAAUCUACUUCAAAAGAUUUUCACUAUCAUAGUAAUGAGGGUAGAACAUAGUGAAAUAUCGGGUAAAUGAUUUGCAAGACUAGCUAGUCUAUAAUCCUUCGAAUUUUUUCUUGAAAUAUUGACUGACCUCCAGACGAGUAUGCGUGAUCUACAGACUAAGAAUUGGUUUACACACAUGGGAAUCUACGAACAAGAAAACUAUGGUGUAUAUGGAUUGAUCAUUUUAACUAUCUUAAAAUGUAUUAUAAUGCAAAUAAUUUGAUCUGUUGUUAAAAUAUCCAUUACCAUUUUAAUUCAUUAGUCAAAUCUAGUAUUAACGACACCUUAACUUUUCCAAAAAUGAAGAAUUAGACUCAAUCCAUUAGUCAAAUAUAUAAUAUUUAAUUAAUUAGUCAAAUCUAGUAUUAAUUACACCUACACCUAAAUAAGUACAUGAACCAUGAAAUAUACUUAUAUCUUUUUCAUAGGCAUAUCAUAAGUACAUGAACCAUAAAUUAUUUAGACGUGUAGAUUUAGCUAAGGUAAAAAAAAACUGUAACGUAAUUAGGAUAAUGCUCUUUGGCUCUAGUUUCCACUUUCUACACCCACUAGUUAAAUGCUCUAUAAAAAAGAGAUGAAGCAUAGCUUAGUUUCACCAUUGAAGCGAAAAAAAAACAUAUUAGAAAUAUGAAGAACAUCACCUUUAAGCUAAUUUUAUGUGUUUCUCUUGUUGUCGUUGCCUUCGGUAAGUAUAUACAUAUCUUUCAAAUCUUAAUUUAAUAAAUGAAAUCAUAUAUGAAUAUAUGGUUAAAACUUGCGGGAAACAAGAUUUAGGCUAUCAAAAAACUAUGUUUAAAACACGUCUUGAGCAUUAUCUGUUAACUACAGUUUUUCGUACGAAAGAGAAAUUUAACAGGCAUAAGAGCAUCAUUAUCGGCGUCUUUAAAAGCGUUUUUAGUAAAAACUUAAUAUUUUAAAAAUGAGUUAGGAGAGAGAAUGAGUAAAAACGUCUCUUAAUUGAGGACGUUUGUAUACGUCUUUUAAUUGUACGUGGAAACCUGGAAUUGGUUAGAAAAAUUGGGAAGAGAGAAUGGGUUUGUUUUGUUUUCUUUUUCAUUUCUUCCAUUUUCUUUUUUUCUCUUCGACACCUUGGUUUCUCCAAUGCAUACACCAAAUACAUGAGUCUUUAAACACAAUUUCUUAUUCACCUUUUUACUCAGACAAUAAUUAAAAAUUACCUUAAAGACCCAAAAGGGUUUCUACCGAUAAUGAUGGUCUUAGAGAAACAAUAGGUAAAAUCUUAGUCAUGGUAUUUAUUAAUAGGUAUUAGUCAUGGUAUUUUUAAGUGUAGAAAAUAUAAAUAAAGGUUUAAUUUUGUGUUCCACUCUCGUUCUCAAACGAGAUUUGGGCAAAGUAUAUGAAAGCCAACGAUAGAAAUCAAUCUUAUCAAUCAUUUUGUUCAGAUGACAAUCCAUGCAUGUUGGGACUAACACAUCAUUGAUCUUAUGUAGGACAAGAUCUUGCAAAAGCCGGUGUGAAUCAUCUAGGGAUUUGUGACACAGACCUUGAGUGCCAAGGCAUGCGUUGUGACAGGGGUAAUGGAUAUUGUGAUCAGAAGGACGGAAAAUGCAAGUGUCCUAAGUUACAAGCGAUGUAUACAAAUAGAGCUGGUGUGAAUCAUCUAGGGAUUUGUGACACGGACCUUGAGUGCCAAGGCAUGCGUUGUGACAGGGGUGAUGGAUAUUGCGAUCAAAAGGAUGGAAAAUGCAAGUGUCCAAAAUAAAAUAAAAAUAUGUUAAAAUUUCGCAAGUAAACAUACUUUAUGAAGAAGUCAAAAUAUAUCAGUAAGUUUACUAAUUUUCCAUUAUGAGUUCUUCCUCGAACAACAUAAAUGAAUAUUAAUCCAAAUCGGAUAUUUGCUGAGUUACGAUUAGAUUGGUUCAACCGGAUGGUUUGGAUCGGACAAUACCCAAAGUUCUGUAUUUUAUUACGUUGAGGUUCUCUUCUUUUUUGGGCAGAAUAUUUCGUGGUUGCUCUGUUAUGUUUAUUAUUUUUCAGAUUCAGCAUGUGGUAUUCAGUUUAUUGUGUUGUGUUUUGACGUUGGUUGAUUUUCAUUACCUAAACUUAAAAAUCAGUUCAGUGUUUUUUAUUAUUUGGUACAACGUCCUACCUUAUCUAAGUUUGGGUCCGGUUUGGAUCUUAAGAAAGCCGAUCCGAUUUUAAACCAAAAGAUUCUUAUGAGACUCGAGGAUAAAAAUGUAACAUAUAUAUUGUUCCUUUUUUAAAGACAUCAGAAAAAUCUCGUCUUUCCUAUAAAAUAAACAGUAUUGAAAUCCCAAAGUCAAAACAGUGCGAAUCAAAUUUAAACUUCUGAUGUGAAUCCUACUCUAGUGUCAUGAAAAUUGGCCGUUGACGAGCAAAGCCUUUGAUGUGGGAAUCUCAAGACCGCAUAUUCUAAAACUUAGCCCCAGUUUUUUUAAAGGACUCCUCCAAUUUUUCUAAUUUCCUUCAAAGCUACAAUCUUUCAUUUUCUCGUAUUGCUCCGAUUCGUUUGAUUAAAAGCAAAACGAAGUUUUCACUGGUAAUGUCCUCAAUCUGUCUUUUUGAAUCCAAUUGCAAAUUCGUUGUGUUUUUGGUUUUCUUCAAAUGCCCACUUGACUUUGAUGAUUUUGGAUUUGACCAAGUGUUCAAUUUCUGCUCACAUGUGGUUUCUCUUGUGUUUCAGUAUCUUCUUUCUCUUACGACAUGAGAGACGAACAAGCUCUUGCAAUCUUGGUGACUUUUGUACUGUUAGCUCUUGCAGCAUUUCAAGAAGUGAAAUCUCAUAAAGACCAACCUUUAUCAGGAAUUGCUAUCCAUAAAACAACAUUCAAUCUCAUUGAAAAAGCUUAUGUCAAAGCCUCCCCAACAGUUCUUGGAUCUAAUGUAAUAACUAUUCUCUCUCCUUUUUAUAGAUAUUUCAGAUCUUUCCUUGGAUUUAUGAUGAAAUGCUAAACUUCAAUUCUUUUUUUUUUUAUUUGGCAGGUUCAACAUAGUGAAAUGGUGUUGGUCGAAUAUAGCUCUCCGAAACCAUCAGAUGAUGAUUGGAUUGGAGUGUUUUCUCCUGCAGACUUCAAGUAGAUUAACACAUUCAUUCUCAUCAACUUCGUUCUGAGACUGAAACAAUGAGUGUUAUGUUUAAUACUUUUUGUUGUUGUUCCUACAGUGCUUCGGCUUGUCCAGGAGAUAACAAAAUGGUGAAUCCACCUCAGCUGUGUUCCGCUCCUAUCAAGGUUUUUCUUUUCUCUCAUAGCAUGAUUUACCAUUGUUCUUGAUUUUUCUUCUCUGUAACAAGUGUUUAGCUUUUUUCCUCUUUUGCAGUUUCAAUAUGCAAACUAUAGUAAUACAAGAUACAACAAUACCGGCUUCGGUUCCUUGAAGCUUCAACUGAUCAACCAGAGAUCUGAUUUCUCUUUCGCGCUCUUUUCUGGCGGUUUGUUGAAUGUAACACUCUCAUUCACCAACAAGUUCUUUAGCUUCAAAGGUUUUUAGUUAACCAUUCCUUGGUUUUGCUUUUAACUUGUGUUAUAGCCAAAGCUUGAGGCAGUCUCAAACAAAGUAAGCUUUGAGAACCCAAAUGCACCAGUUUACCCGCGUCUUGCGCUAGGCAAAGAAUGGGAUGAAGUAAGUUUCUGAAAACCCUCUGAUGAUUAUUUUCUGUGGAAAUGACCCAAAGAAGUGGCAAUGAAUCUGUGAAUAGAUGACAGUGACAUGGACUAGUGGUUAUGGAAUCAACAUUGCUGAACCUGUUGUCGAGUGGGGAGUCAAAGGAAGAGAGCGUAAACUCUCACCUGCUGGGACAUUGACCUUCCAGCGUAAUAGCAUGUGCGGUGCUCCUGCAAGAACGGUGGGAUGGCGUGAUCCCGGAUACAUACACACAGCUUUUCUCAAAGAGUUGUGGCCUAACUCCAAGUAUGUGCCAUGUGUUUUCUCUGUUCUAAAACGAGUAAUCGGCUUAAGGGAGGGACCUAAUAUAUAUGCAUGAAUCACUGAGACUUGAUAUGAUUGUUAUACAGAUAUACCUACAGAGUUGGGCAUAGAUUGUCCAACGGUGCAUUCGUCUGGAGUAAAGAGUAUCAAUUCAAAUCUUCUCCAUUUCCAGGCCAAAACUCUCUCCAACAUGUUGUCAUCUUUGGAGACAUGGGAAAGGUUUGAUAUUUUUUAAGACUAAGAGUAGAUCAGAUUGUCUCUGAGCCACAUUCAUACCUUUCUUGUUCUAUAUUCCAGGCUGAGGUUGAUGGCUCAAACGAGUACAACGAUUUCCAACGCGCUUCUCUCAACACCACAAAGCAGCUUAUCAAAGAUCUAAAGAAGACAGAUGCAGUUUUCCAUAUUGGAGAUAUCUGUUAUGCAAACGGAUACCUUUCGCAAUGGGACCAAUUCACAGCUCAGAUUGAGCCAAUUGCUUCCACUGUUCCAUACAUGAUUGCAAGGUUUUACCUUUUUUUUCUUUACUUUCUUACAAAGUUGUUGGCUUUCUUGUUUACCGAGUCCCGCAUAUAUUGGCUCUGUUGCAGCGGAAACCAUGAACGUGACUGGCCCAACUCGGGAUCGUUUUACCAGAAUUUAGACUCUGGAGGAGAAUGCGGUGUACCAGCGGAGACAAUGUUCUACGUUCCUGCUCAAAACAGAGCCAAGUUCUGGUACUCGAGUGACUAUGGAAUGUUUAGAUUCUGCGUGGCUGACACAGAACACGACUGGAGAGAAGGAACAGAGCAAUACAACUUCAUCGAGCAUUGCUUAGCAUCAGUGGACAGAAAAAAGCAGCCGUGGCUCAUAUUCUUAGCUCAUCGAGUGCUCGGCUAUUCCUCAACAUCGUUCUAUGCAGAAGAAGGCUCUUUUGGCGAACCAAUGGGAAGAGAUAGUCUUCAAAAGCUCUGGCAGAAAUACAAAGUCGACAUUGCAAUCUAUGGCCACGCACAUAACUACGAGAGAACAUGCCCGGUUUAUCAGGUAAACAUCCACCACAAGUAUAUCAAGAAUGGUUCAUAAAAAACAAAAAAUCACUCCAUUGUUCUGUUGCUUUUUGUGUGUGUGUGUAGAGUGUAUGCACGAGUAAUGAGAAGAGCAACUACAAGGGUCCGUUGAAUGGGACGAUCCACGUUGUUGCUGGAGGUGGAGGAGCUGGUCUUGCUGAAUUCUCCGAGCUACAACCGAAUUGGAGUCUGUUCAGAGAUUACGACUACGGAUUCGUUAAACUUACAGCAAUUGAUUACUCCAAUCUUCUGUUCGAGUACAAGAAGAGCAGCGACGGACGAGUCCAUGAUUCAUUCAAGAUAUCAAGAGAUUACAGUGACGUCUUGGCUUGUGCUGUUGAUAGUUGCCCCGCAACAACACUUGCUUCAUAAGAAUACGAUCUUGCAACUGCGUGAACUCUUUCUCUGUUGUAGGGAUCACACACACAUCAAUUAUACGCACUGACAAUUUAAGUUUCAGAAAGGUUUCUUCCCGACUUAUUUAUCAUCUUCCGACAUAACUGAAGUUUCAGUUCUUAGACACUCAUUUGAUGGUUCUUUUGAUGUUCUCAUGUAUUACACUUAAAAUACAAGAGAAUCUUGAUCUUCAUCCUAAUCCUCAACACCAAGAUUGAGAUUUGGCAUUUUCAUUCUCAAAGCCAAACUAAGCAGAAAUCCGAAAGAUAAAAACAACAAGAAAUGAAACAAGAAGAGAAAUACACAUCCGGUUCUUUCUUUGUUUCAAAACGUUGACGAAGAAGUAUUGACAACGAUAUGCCGAAGAGGACGAUCCACAUCUCCUCCUCCACCAUGUUUAACAAACUCAGCGGGUGUCAAGAAACUGCCAUGGCAAAUGCACAUUAUCCGAACUUCCUCUCCUUUCCCGUACUUGUACAGAAUCCCAUCAACACGUCUUCCGUUAGGACCGUCUCCUUUGGUAAACACACAAGGCAUGUCGAACAAACCAGUAGACGUAGCCGUGCCUUUGCCUUUCCUAUCCACAGAUUCAUCUUCUCUUCUCACUCCUUUCUCAUUCUCCUUCUCAUUCGCUCUUGGUUUCUCCGUUCCUUGGCUUCCGCUAGUAGAAGAACAUCUUGUCAUGAUCUUCGGGCUUCUUUCGUCACCGCAACUGUUUGAUGAACCUACAAGACAGUUCAAGUUUUCUCAGUUUCUUUCCAACAACAAUGUCACUAAUCUUAAAAAGCAAAAAAAAAUUGAACUCUACCUUGUUGAUUCUUGUUGUCCAGCUCUGACAAGCAUGAAGAGCUGCCUCCUCCUCCUCUUCCUCCAUCGGAAUCAAAAGACACUUGUCCAUUAGAAGAAACCAAAUGUCUCUGCAAAAACCCGCUUUUACUCGCAGUGGCCCAUCUCUCGGACUCAAACGACGGCGUUUGGUCAACUCUGAAACUCUGUUUCUCACAUCUCCUCCUCUUAGCUUCCAUUCUCCUCAGCGACUGCAUCUCUUUCCUUUUCCUCCAUUCCUCUUCCAUCUCCGCCGGUAACGACGUCGUUCUAGCUAAACCCACCGUGUAAUUCUCCGGCUCGACCUCCGUCUCGGACACAAACGUCGUCGAGUCAUCAAACGGCACAGUUCCGAUAACAGAGGAAGAUCGUUUGAGCUUCCUUGGAGUCUUGUCUACUCCGAAUCGACCUCCUAAAGACAAACCCAGAUUCAGCUCAAUCGCACUCUCAUCAUCGCAGUCUGUUUCUCCACCAUGAAACGAUCUUCCACCGCCGUUUUCAGACAUAAAACCUCGUAACAGAUCUCUCGGGUAUUUAUCUAUGUCCAGAGAAAGAUUUGUCGACACCGUCAUUUCUCUGUUCCAUGCCCUUUGUUGUCUGCUUGCUUCUUCCCCCAUAGAUUCCGGAACAACAGAAACGGAAAGAGAAACGAGAUUUUUUUUUUUGUUCUCCUUACUUAAAGAAGAAAUGAAAAUUCUGAAUGUCACAUCAGGUCAAAAUCAGAAUUCCACAGAAAAUCUCACAAAAUCAUGAAAUAAACAUAUAAUGGAACAAUUACAUACGGAGAAAAUAAUUAUGGAACAGAACUCGCCGGAGUUACCAGAGAUGGCGAAGAAGACGAAGAGGUAAAAUCGACAGUUGAAGAGUAGAGACGGAGAAGAAGAAGAAAACCCUUUUUAGACAUUAGAGAGAUAAAAGAGAAAAAGAAGAAGAAAGAGAGACAGCUCCUUGACUGAGAGGAGGCAAGUGGCCGCCGAGAGAGCUGCCUGAACGACACGUGGCCGGUGGAUUACGUCGGCGUUCCAUAGCGCUGCUUGAAGAAACGUGUCUUAAAGCGACUGAGUUAAUCAGAGUCACGACACGUGUCUCCCAGGUAAAAGAUCCGUUUUCUCUCUAUUUAUUUUUUUGUCUCCAAUUUUUUCUUAUCUUCGGCCCCAAUAAAGUAAAAACUUCUAAACCAGAUUAAACUUUUUAAUAAAAAAAAACUAAAAACCAGAAUCGAUUCCAUUUCCAAGUGCUUAAAAUUAUUACUUAAAAAUUUGUGCUAGAUAACCUUUUUACUAUUCAUAUUUAGUUAAAUGGAAAAAUACACUAUUAUUUUUUUUUAAAUACACUAAUGCCCUUACAUUAUCUUUUCGCCUAGACCCCUAUAUACAAUUUCCUCUGCUGCAUCUCUCAUCCUUUAUAAAUCAGUAAGUAUCUAAAUCCCGUAACUUUUUAUUUCUAUUAUACAGUUUUCACAUCUAAUUUCAUCGAUUGCAUGUUAACAUUUCUGUAGAUGUCGAAUUUGAAUUUCUCCGGGAGGUUCUUCGCUGCCGAGCAAGAGCCGAUUGGUAAAAGGGUGAACUCGUACCAGAAAUCGAAAUCCCAUAACUUUUUUAUUUCUAUUAUACAGUUUUCACAUCUAAUUUCAUCGAUUGCGUGUUAACAUUUCUGUAGAUGUCGAAUCUGAAUUUCUCCGAGAGGUUCUUCGCUGCCAGGCAAGAGCCGAUUGGUGAAAGGAUAAACUCGUACCAGAAAUCGAAAACCAUUUCAACUAUUUUUAAAGUCCUUGAUGAAAACAAAUCAAAAGUUACGAUUUUGAUUAUGAUUUUGAUUUCUAGUUAUUAUUGGUGACUAUUGUUCAUAUAUUGUGGUUUCUGGAGAUUGAAGAUGAAAUAUAGAAUCAAUGUUUUCUGAUGAAUAUAAUAAGUUAAUCUAAAGGUUGAUGAUUUACAAUUUUACUUAUCUUGUGAAAUAAAAAAUUAGAGCUAUAUCAAAAUGUUUAAAUCGUAUAAUAACAUGCAAACACUUAUAGAUAACAUGUAAGUUAACCAACAAUGAUUAAGUUACCAUGUUAAAACAAGUGUUAGCAGUACAUUUACAUAUUUACUUGAUACAAUAAAUUUUAACAUGAUACAAUAACAUGUAACUUGUUACCAUAAUCUAACGGGAUAUUGAUCCAUAACUUGUUUUAGUUCAUUGAUCUUUGCGACGAAGCUCUCUGUCAUAAAGUGACGGACACAAUCACCAAAAUCAAGCAUCAGAUCUUACCAGAUCAAUCGAAGCUAACUGAGAUUUUCAGCGAUUUAGGUUUUAUAGAUUCCACUAGUUUGACGGAAGAAAUACAGAGGUUGGAGAAAUCAAACACGUGAUCAGAUCGACGAGAGAUCCAAAUUCUCCGCCACAUCUCUCAUCAAAUUUGUUUGUUAUUCAAUCUGCGUGAUGCCUUCAACACGAUCCUUCGACGCUGUCAUUGAAUCUUGAUUUCGACCACUAUAAGUCGUUGUCAGACGCAAAUAUCUUGGCGGCUAUCUAGUGUCUGAUCACGUUGGAGUAUGUUAAAAAUGUAUAAAUUUAUCAUGCUAAUAAAAUAUAUACUUUGUUAACAAGUUAUGUAAUUGUAUUAGCUAUAUAUAUACAUAUGUAGUUUGUUAACAAGUUAUGUAAUUGUAUAACUUAUAUAUUAACUAGAUGAGAGCGAAAAACAUCUCGUGACGAAAAUUAAGUUAAUAAAUAAUAAUAAAAAAACAAGAAGGGUUAGAAAGUAAUUAACAUACCGACUAAAUACUGUAAAUGGAGUUUUACAUCUUCUCUUUCUUAUUUAACUAAUUUUAACCACGUUUUGAUAUUUCUAGCAAAUUGACUCUUAUUACUUCGGAUGAUAAUAAUUUCAAAAAUGAAGUUUGUCUAAUGAAAUUUGAUUUGGAGAGGUAAGAAAGAACAGAGGAAACACAUAAUUGAAAUUGAUAAAUCUAGCGACUCGACAACGUCACUCACGUGGGUUGGACCGAGGGACCCACGACGAAGCAAGUUGCUUGUGAAAAAGUGACGGAUAAUAACACUUCUUCCAUGUUAAUAAAAAGAAAAGGUAAUUUACUUAAUAAUUCCACAAAAGGCAAGUUCAAUAAAUCUAGUAAAAGACUAAAUAUAAUUAUAAAGUAUUUAAUGUAAAAAAAUAUAUAUAACUAUACUAAUCUUGUGAUAGAGAAGAGUAGUUUAUAAUCCAAUUUUGUGUAAAGUCGAGUGUUAUUGAUUCAGUGAUAGUUAGGUUGGAGAAUGAAAUCUACAAGUUGAAAAAGAAGAUUUUUAAGAAUCCUUGGUGGGUCACUUUGUUUGAGUCAAGUGGGGGACCAACUUGAAGAUUUAUAAAGCAUCAAAACGAAAUUGACACGUGUCAUUCACAUGUUGGUUCAUGUAAUAGUGCAACUGAUAAAGAAAACUAUACGACGUCGCUGCUUCCCCAUAGCCAAGCCCAUAAGGUAUGGGCUGUCCACUUUGGAAUUUAAACUUAAAAUUAAGGUUUUUAUGGAUUGUAGUUACUUUGUUUGAUUUGGAGUAUUUUAACAUUUUCAGUGAACUUAAAACUCGGUUAAUGAUUUUCAAUGUACAACGAACGUCCGGUUAUCUUUUGGUUAUGAUGAAAACCGGUCCAUAUAAAGCUUGGUGAUUCAGAUCGGAAAGAAAAAUGCAAUCAAAUCAAAAGAUAUUAUCCCACACAAAAUCUCAAAUGAAAGAAGGGAAGAUCGCCUAAGAGAUAAACCUACUCCACUAAAACUUCUAAUUUAUCUCUCUCGCUCUCUGUCUUCCUAUAAAACUCUAGAUUCUCAAAUUCAAAUGAACAAUAGAAACAACAUUAGAGUAUUUAAAAAAAAAAAAAAAAGACUCUGGAUUGAGCAUUUUCAAUUCGAUCUAAUAAUCGCAAGAAAAAAAAAAAGAUUGAAACUGGAAACACAGUAGUAUUUAAAGUGCCAAAAUCUCCUUGAUAAUACUAUUUGAAGACAAAUAUUGAAUUAUGAUCAGAAAACCUUAAUUCUCACCUUCAAUAGGCAACUUGAAACGGCACAAUGGACAAAGGUGGCUGGUCCUAAACCAAUCGACGAUACAUUGAUCAUCAAACGCGUGCCCACAGGAUAAGGUCACGACUAUUCUGCCGGCGCCAAACUCCUCUAGACAAAUCGCGCAACUAUCAUCACACGUCGUUAUAGACAUAGCCUCCUUGUCCGUGUCGUAGAUUUUCUUGUUCAGGGACAUGACAGCGAGCUUGCUUGCGGGUCUAAAAUCCGAUAUUGGUCUCAUCGAAUGAGAAUUGAACCACUGCCUCCUCUUCCUCUUCUAUUUGAGGAGGAGGAAUGGGAUCAAUAGCCAUUCUCACUGACAAAGCACAACCUGGAGAAUACUCAGGCGACCAAUGCACAAUAUUAUCGACAAACAUUUAGAGGCCUAACAGUACCUCGGUAUCAAUCCCAGCAUCGCUCAAGAAUGGAUUCAGUACACUGCUGCCUCCAAAAUCUUUAACGAAUCCAUUGAUACGACAUUUAACUGGGGACGUAGGGCAUGUUCGUACAGGAUCAAACAUUCCAACAAUACUUGCGUAGAUUUUUAUUGUACCAGCAUCUUCCGGUUUUGGAUUCUUGUCUAUUUCGUGGUCGAAGGAUGUUUCGGCGUUCAUGACAAUACGAUCUGAAACACAAGAAUGGAUUUGGUUUUAUGUUCUUUAUUUAUUUAGAUGUGAGGGAGAUACUGUAUAUGCUCUUCAAUUAUAUAUAUGGACUUUCUCAUAUUAGAAUAUGGAAAUUAAAAAUAAACUGUUUUGAAAAACGAAAAAAAUAAACGUCAAAACAAAUAUUAAUAAACCAAUAAAUAGACAAUUCUAAAAAAAAAAGGAUUAAGAGAUAAAAAAUUAAAAAUUAAAAAAAAAAUCAUAUUUCAGUUUUAAAUAUAUAAAACCGAAUGAUUCAAAGUUACUAAGCAAGUCAAAGUCGACUAAUAAAAAACGUUAAAUUUUUUAAAUAUUUAAUUAUUGAUUUAUAAUUUUAUAACGAAAAAAAAUUAUCUUAAAAGACUUUUCCUUAAAAUAUCGUUUUUCUUAAAUUAUCUUAAGAUUAUCUCUUUCUCUCUUUUUCGUAAUCUCUCACAGAUUAGGAUUAGGAUUUUUUUUCUUUUUCUUUAUCUCUUAAAAGUAAUGGUUUUUUCUUUUCCUUUUCUUAGUCCCUAAUAUAAUAUACACUACGAUUAAAUCCCUCCAUCACUCAAUAUAAAAAAAAAAUAUGAUCCCAAACAAAAGCUCAAAUGAAAGAAGGGCAUAUCGCCUAAGAGAUGAUAAAACCUACUCCAACAAAACUUUUAAUUUCUCGCACUCUCCUCUUCCUAUAAAAAACUUCAGAUUCUCAAUUUCAAAUGAACAAUAACAACAACAUUCAGAAUAUAAAGAAACAAGACUUUAAACUCUUUUAGUCUCUGGAUUGAGCAUUUUCACGGCCAGCUUUCACCGUACCCUUCUGAGAAACUUUGCCAUCACCAUUACUAGCCUCACCGUUGCGUGAUUCUCCCCGUCUCUCAUUUCCAUUUCUUCCAUAGCCUCGUCCUCCAUUAUAACCGUUGCCACGAGGCCUAAACCCGUCGUUCCUGUAACCGUUCUCGCUCCUAUAACCUCCGUUUCGCAUUGAGGAUGUACCAUCAUUGUUGCCUGCAAAGCAGAAUCUCAAGGGUUUGAGUUUUUAGAUUUUGGUGACAGUAUUCACUAAGUAGUAAACUUCACUUUUAACUUACCUCGUUUCUCUUCUAUAGAAACUCUCCUGUUUCCAAUUCUGAUGGCUGACUCUUUGUGAGCCUAGAGUUGUAAUCAGCCAGUUUAUAAUCAGAAGAAAAAUCCAGGCUUUUAAAUCAAAAGUUGUAAGAGAUUAAGACAAUGUCUAACGAUACCUUGAUGACCAGUUUCACAGCUUCAGCAUUUUCGUAUGUCACAAAACCGAAACAGUUUCCCUUAUGCUGAAAAUUGAAAAUAUUUGGAUGGUUAAAAGUUUUGGAGGUGGAACAAAGUAAUACAUGUUUCCUCUAAAGAUCAAUUCAUAAACAACUCACCCUGUAGCUUCUAACUUGGAUACCUUUUUCCUUGAUAACACCAAAACCUUUGAAUACUUCAUUGAGUUGCUCCUCUGUAGCGUCCAUAGGCAAGUUUGCAACAAAUAUGGAACCACCCUCAGCUGAUACAUUACAAUAUGGCAAACUCACAUUAAGACAUGGAAAAGAUUAAACACGAAAAGGGAACAUUUGUGNNNNNNNNNNNNNNNNNNNNNNNNNNNNNNNNNNNNNNNNNNNNNNNNNNNNNNNNNNNNNNNNNNNNNNNNNNNNNNNNNNNNNNNNNNNNNNNNNNNNNNNNNNNNNNNNNNNNNNNNNNNNNNNNNNNNNNNNNNNNNNNNNNNNNNNNNNNNNNNNNNNNNNNNNNNNNNNNNNNNNNNNNNNNNNNNNNUAGUUUAUAAAAGCAAGGUUGAGCUAUAGAAUUAGACAAUACACAUAAUGAGGACUCACAACUACUGCAAAGGAUUUCUUGGGAGCAGCCACACCGUUGCUGAUAUCGUUCACAACUUUUUCCUCUCGGGUUUUGGGAUGUCCAUUUGCUAUAGCUCGUUCUGGUUUUUUCACCGCAACUUCAGCUGUCUGUUUCACCACGGUCUGUUGAGUUGGGAUAGAAACUGGCUCUGCAACUUCAUUUGCCGGCUCCGCUGAUAAAAAAAAGAAAAUCAAUUUUCUUAUGAAAAUCCAAAAUGUAGAUCGGAUAAUGAAAAUCAAAUAACACUUUGGCCGAUACUCACCCAAGAUUGUGACUGUUACUUGAGGAGUCGUCUCCACAACCUCCUUCUUGUUAGCUUCUGGUUCAACAAAGUCAUCAGAGACAUACCUAAAGACAUCGUUGAGCACAAAGUAGCUUCCUUUCUGCGGCACAAGGAAAAAAGAUUGAGAAAAUCUCAUUCUUUCUCCAUCUUUCACGGUAAGCAAACCCGUGACUAGAGUAACAACUCCAUUUUUGUAUGAUGCUUGGGAAUCAGCAGUCAAAAUCUGAAUCUUUGAGUUUUCGUAAUCGAAGGACAUGAUCUGGUCAUUAAUAGCCUGCAAAACAAGAUUGAAGAACUCUUAUCAGAAACUUUGCUUCCAACUACAAGAUUGAAACACAACUAAUCGUAAAAACUGUAGCUUACCUUUAAAGAUUUUACAGAAACCAUCUCUCCAUCGGAACCAGGGCGCCCUAAAACACUGUCCUCAAGAUAGAAUCGAUGCACUUCCGCUGGUGAUUCAUAUAAAUGGUUGUAGUAUUUUUGAACAAAAGCAUUGCCCACAAUGUGUGGAUCCACCAAUGGAGCAUUUGAUUCGAGUGCCAUCUCUACAUUAUUCAAUAGAUUCAUUAGGGUCAUACAAAAAAUAAGACUAAGUCGAAAUUGAAACAAAAACAGACUAAUAAGAACCACACAAAAAGAUUGGGUUUUGUUCAUCAAAAAAGAGACUUCACAUAAAUUAAAUCCCCACAUUGUCAUUCCAAUCUAACCGAAUGCACUAAUUCACAAAUCUCUUAUAGCUCGACAAAAGUUAAUUGCCUAACUUAAUGCUUGCAAGUUGUGAAUCUACAAAUCACUAUGUGGCGACAGAAAUCAUCCAUAGAUCUAUAUAGCUAUUAGAUUUUGAAGAAAUGUAAAAAAAGCUCAAGCUUAAGGCAGAAACACUAAACUCAAAACAAUAUUUAUAAAAACUGAAGAAGAUGAGAAAGAAAAUCAGUAUAUGGACUAUGAACACAAGCAUACCUUGGAAGAUGAGAAGAGAAGCAGAAUCAAAAUCUCAGACCAGAGUGAAGAAAAGAGAGACAGAGAGUAGCACACACGAGGGGGAUGAAUAUAAAUAUUUAUAUAUAUGGCUUCUUUUAGGGUUUUACUUAGAAAUCUCCGACGAGAAAUUUGGGAUUUCUGUAGGGCUUUUCUACAGAUUUUAUCACUAAAACAUUAUACUAUCUUUAUUUAUAUGGUAAGGAGGGAAUUCCCUUGAAAUUCUUUUGGCGAUUAUAUUGUCGAGUAAUGGAGAUUGUGGCUAAGAAUUGCCUGUUUUAUAUAAAAACAAAAGAGGUAAAAGGUUUUUCUUUUUUUUGGCCUUUUGGCUCUGGAAAUUGAAAAGGUAAAAAGAAAUUGUUCACCCCAAAAAAAAGUUUAAAAAAAUUAAAUAACAAGAAGCCCCCGGCGAGGAUCGAACUCGCGGCCUUUCGCUUACGAAGCGAACGCAAUACCACUAUGCUACGGAGGCUUCUGACAUACCAAUUCGACAAUUAAUUUAUAGAAAUACCUAAUUUCCGUUUAAGUUAGAGUGUUGCAUCAGGGCAUCGUAUAUUCCAUGAUACUCAAAUUCAGUAUUGAAUACAAAAACUGAACUGGAAUUGUGCAUCCAGAGAACAUUAUACUUGUAAUAAUAAUGUCUAUUACUUUCAUACGAUUUUUUCGUUGACACACAGCACACUUUUAUGUGACUAAAGUACGCAGGACCAAUUUCUUAUGCUUUGAAAACUAAUAUGUUCAAACUGUUUCAAUGCCAUUUUUGAAAUAAUUUCAAAACGAACUAUGAUCAACGGGCAGAAAAUUUUGAAUGGCCUACGAAAAUUUUGGUGUUGAGAUCUACCUCGAAUUAAAACAUAUACUAUUAAACAAAUUAUAUGAUGUAUGAUCUGUAGGUGCAAGAAGUUGAAAAUGAAAAUAUAUAAAAUAUAUAUGAUGUAUAUGAUUUGCGUAAAUGAUGCAUAUCAGCUAAUUAAAACUAACAUUUAAAAUGACUAAUUAAAUAACACACAUUAUCAUUGGAAUUUAAAAUAAUUUAAAUAUCAAAUCCAAUAUAUAUCAUUGAUGCAAUACAUAUUUGCUAUUUAUAUAAAUGUCAUUCAUUUUUGUUUUAAAAAAAAAACACUAAAAGCGGACAUAUGUCAAUAAAUCAUAUCAAUUAAAGAGUAGAACUGAAUUCAAUUCAUAUCUAUAAACUUUUUACAAUGUCCUCUUUUGAAUUCAAUUCAUAUCUCAAUCUUCAAUAUAAAUAGCUCUGGGAUUGUUAUAUAAUUGUUAUACAUCUCUGGGAUCAAGAUGAAGAAAGUUUCUUUCAAACUUGUGCUAUUGGUUUCACUUCUUCUCACCUUAUUCCGUAAGGAUAGCUAUACCAUUGCAUAGUUUUAACUCUAGUAUUAAAUCCGUCUUAACUAUUAUCAAAAUAGUUAUAGCCACGAAGCAACUUUGCUCACAUUCAAAACCAACCCAAAUACUUUUACUCUAGUCUUAAAUAUGGUUAAUAUUUUAAGAUUGUAAUAUAUAUAAAAAAAAGAUUUGUAAUAUAAUGAUAAAUAAAAUUAUGAUUUGCUGGUGGGUGUAGGACAAGAUCUUGCCAGUAGUAUCGAGGCUGGAGCAACACACUCAGAUGAUCAAUACCAGAAAAAUAGUGAUAAUUAUGGAAAAUGGCGUUUGGGAACGAAGUUUAAGAUGGAUCGAAAAAAUAUAAAUGGUGUUCUUAAGUGUAAAAGAGACAUUGACUGCUGUUUAAAAUGUCCUAAAGGCCUUGGAUACUGCAAUAAUCGAGGAAUUUGCGACUGUGUCAAAAGAAACCAUUGAACUUUUGAAGGAAACAAAGUCUUAUGUAUUAAAGUGAUAAAAACAUUUAUUGGAAAAAUAAAAUAAUCCCCACCCCCUCCCUAGAAACAUUUUUUCUUCCAUGACUAAUAUAGUAGUGGCCCAAUAAAUAAGUAGCGGACCGGGUACGGUUCGUAAAGCCCGUAUAUCUGAGGCAGAAUAUCGCAAUGUAUACGAUGUUAGACCAAAUCACAAACCAUCCACUUGAUCACAAUUUUGUUUUUCUUGAUCACAAGUAUUCACCAAUUACAUAUUACUAGUAAUUUUUCUAGUUUUCUACUGUUUCAAUAUAUUGCGAAAGUAAUACAUCGAUAAACUGCUAAUAUAAGUAAGAUACACAACUUGGCAAAGAUUACAAAUUUGCAUACAUAUUUGAUGACCAUUUUAGUGUGUCCAUUUUUAUUUAUGAUUUAGAAAUUUAACGUUAGACACCAAAACAAUCCAAAACGAUAUAAUAUAUCAACGAAUACGAGAUAUAAUAUAUUAAAAAAUGAUUUGCAUACAUUUUCACGAUAGUUUUAGGUAUAUAUUUUCUCUAAAGUAAAGCUGUUAAAUUGAAUAGACGAAGGUUAAAAAUGCUUAAACAACUCAUACGAUCGAUCAAAUAUGUUUAUAUAGCUCAUAUGACCCGUGACAUAAAUUUUAGAUAUUCAUUUUAUUAAUCUAUAGAUUCAGAUUUAUACAGGUAAACUGAGUCGCAAUAUCACAAUAAUACUCAUCAUAUAUCAUGUAUCAGUAUAUUAUUCAUUCUAAAGAAAAAAAAAACAAUUCAUAUAUAUCCUUAACCACAUGGCAAACAAGGGGAAGGGGAACCACAAGAUGAUGACAGGAGAAUAAGAUCAAUUUGGUUAUGUUCUAACCGAACUAGAAGUUUUUUUUUCUUGUUAUGGGCAUAACUAUAAGAUCUCUCGUUGUUCCGACAUUGACAUUUUUGGCCUCUCACUUUCCACUUUCUCUCGUUUUUUUUUUGUUCUAACUUAUUUAUUCCUACCCAUUUGGGUCCCAUAAAGAACAGCUGUUAAUAGUGAAUUAUUCUCCUGAUGUUAUAUCUUUUUCAAACUAGAACAUGCAACUUUUCACUUCAAAUACUUCACAGUUUUCAAGAGUCGUAGCUCCAUUCCAUGUAUUUAUGUAUUUGACAUUGGUCAAAGUCUGUUAACCUUUUGAAAUAGUUACUAUCAAACAUUUGGUUCCUGGUUAAAAUACACAUGGAUACAGAUUUUAUAAU